rnacentral:lncRNA from 1 species
GAAAAAUGAUUUGGGGGAUGAGAAGCUGAUCCAAGUAUAGAUGGUUAUUAGCAGAUAUUAGGGAAAAAACAACAAGCAAAAACAAAAGAGUUCUGUGAACAGCUCGAGGAAAUGAACGAGAAUUAUGUGAACAGUGGGUUCAUUUUAAUUUAGAUGGGCUACCUCUAAUGGUAAGUGAUAAAUUUUGAUGUAAUUGUAGACAUUGACUUCCUUAUUUUAUUUUAUUAUUUUCACUGUCAAAAUACACAGAAUGUGUAAUGAACCACAUAGGCGUGUGUUUAGUCUAACAUCAGUAGUGUGUUAGAAAACUUUUGGAAACUUAAACAAGGCCAAGGAACCCAAUUACAACUUCUGGCUAGUCUUUUAGGUGAGGUCCUAGAUUAUUAGUAAAGAUAUCAAAGCUGACCUAGCCUAUGGCCCAUAUGUGACUAGGGAAUAUCGUAGCAUGAGCCCUCUUGGGGCUGAAUCUCUUUCUGGUUGAGGAACCCACGUUUUCCGGUCUUAGCUUGACCGAUUCACUCAACUGAUACCACUAGCCUUGCAUUGUGUGGACUACAAUCUGAUCAUCAUAUUUCUAUUUCUGAUUGGAUCCUUUCCUAUUGAGAAUGCUAGGGCUUAAAAGAGGGAGUGUGUGAGGACCCAUGGCGCCACUUGUAUAGUCCUACAUCAGUUGUGCAGUGGGGAGGUCUUGGGCAUUUAAGCGGGGCCUAUCAUCCCAAUUAAUGAUUUUUUACCUAGGCUUUUUGCAUUAGGUUCUGGGUCAUUACACAAUGUAUCAUGAACCAAAGAGGAUAUGACAUAACAGAAAAUUUAGUAGAUGCAAAGCAAAGUUCUGAAGCAGGUGGAUUAAUGAAGUAAAAAGUCAAAGAAAGACCUUAUAGAUGGGCUGAUGUAAUCAAGGUUUUUAAAAUUUUGUGGGGUGGGGGCAUUCCGGUUUCUCUAUGGAAUGGGGCACCACAUGUCCCGCCCUAUCCCGGUGGCCAUCUCCAUUGAGCAUCCGACUUGCUUGGGAUGCCCUUUUUUAUAUUUUUUUCAAUUUUUCUUAAUUUACCUAUGAAGUUUCACCAUUUUAUUUUUUAAAAAUAUAUUUGAACUUCAAAAGUAAUAUAUUUAAGAUAACCUGGGUCCAUUUAGCAUAACUCUAAGGUGAGAAGCUAUGUAAAUGAGAAUAUAAUUAUCUAAAUCUUGCCUAUUAAUAUUUCUUUAUUGAUCAAACAAUUCUAGCUAAUAUAACCAUGCCACAAUUGAUCAAUGUUGCUUAAGUUGUAUUAAGACCUGCUAUUGUCAGAUUUCAUGAGGGUAAAUAUUUGCAUAGGUUAAGCAUAUCUAUGUCUAUUGGUCCAUCAUUCACGGAAACUUUUUGCUUGAAUCAAGGUCCACCGUACCAGGUCCGGUAGGCGNNNNNNNNNNNNNNNNNNNNNNNNNNNNNNNNNNNNNNNNNNNNNNNNNNNNNNNNNNNNNNNNNNNNNNNNNNNNNNNNNNNNNNNNNNNNNNNNNNNNNNNNNNNNNNNNNNNNNNNNNNNNNNNNNNNNNNNNNNNNNNNNNNNNNNNNNNNNNNNNNNNNNNNNNNNNNNNNNNNNNNNNNNNNNNNNNNNNNNNNNNNNNNNNNNNNNNNNNNNNNNNNNNNNNNNNNNNNNNNNNNNNNNNNNNNNNNNNNNNNNNNNNNNNNNNNNNNNNNNNNNNNNNNNNNNNNNNNNNNNNNNNNNNNNNNNNNNNNNNNNNNNNNNNNNNNNNNNNNNNNNNNNNNNNNNNNNNNNNNNNNNNNNNNNNNNNNNNNNNNNNNNNNNNNNNNNNNNNNNNNNNNNNNNNNNNNNNNNNNNNNNNNNUCCGACGCCCCUCCGCGGCUCUCCGAUGGCGGCUGAAGGUGGGCUCCCUCCCUCUCUUCCCCGCGCUCCCUCUUUUUCUCCUCGUCUUCUUCGUCUCCGGCAAGGAACCGGCCUGUACCGGUUUCCACGGCUCCGCUGUAUCGGUAGCUGGCCGGACCGGUUUGUACCGGCCGGUACCGGCCGGUACGGGCCGGUUCGGCAUACGCGGGCUUGAAUAUUUUGUGAUGAUCGGGUCUUAUUCAUAUAUCUACUUAAAAUUGACACUAAUUUAUUGUCGCCUUCUAGGUUAUUGGAUAUCUUUGAUUUCCAAGCAACAAUCACAAGCCUUUGACAAGACAAAAAUGAUAUGAUUUCACAAAAAAGUGCCAGUUUUAUUGCAUAGAGCUUAGUCUCAUAACCAAUUCGCCUUCAGUUUCUCUAGCUUUGAAACUUAUAACUUGAUACUUAGAUGUCACAUGAGUAGCAGUGAAGUCAACAAAACUGCCAUAAAAAUGAACAUAAGCAAAAUCUAUUAAGUGUAUAUAUAUAAUUAUUUUAUUAUUGUUUAAUCUUAUUAAAUUGCUGCUCCUGGCAAUUAACAUGGACACCUGUUCUCCUACGUUUGAAAACAUUGCUAUUCGAGAGGAGCAGAAUGAGCAAUAUUAUCUAAAGUUUCAUACCCAUUAGAAAUAAAGGAUUGACUAUGUACUUAAUUAGGAUGCUUUUACUAAAUUUUUUGUUUCUUAUAUAACAUUAUUUAUUUAAAUAUAAUAUUACAUAUCUAAAUAUAAUAUAAUGUAAUAUAAUAUAAUAUAAUAUAUAUUCCCUUUUUUGUAUGUUUUUACUUUUUAUAUAAUAUUAUUUUGAGCAAAAAUUUAAUGUUGGAUGUGGGGUUUGAAUCUAUAUUUUCUUAAUUUUUAUAUAAUAAUAUUGUGAGAUAAAAUUCAAUGUUGAAUGUUGGGUGUUUUUUAUUUUUAUAUAAUAUUAUUUUGAUGAAAAAUAAAUAUUGAAUGUGGGGUUCAAUUUUAUAUGUUUUUUAAUUUUAAAUAAUAUUUUUUUGAUGAAAAAAAUAAUGUUAAUUGUGGGGUUUGAAUGAGGUGCUCCGGCCAGGAUGGAAGAGGCAUACAGCUAUAGUCAUUCCUUUCUUUCACGACGCAGGGCUAAGGCUGGAAGGACCUGACAGGUUGGUAAAUCAUGUCCAAGCAUUGGGAGUCCUCAAGCCCUCAAUCACUGACUCAUCCUUAGAUGAAGGCAUUUCCCAUCCAGGGCGGCCCUAUCGUUGCAUGGUCCAUUUGGGAUGAAGGCAAGACAGCUCGCAGAUGUGGGUUUCAUUGUCCCGCACCCUUUUCGGGUCCCGUUAUCUCACAAGAAUGGGACAGGACGGCCGGGGUGCCUCUCAUUCCACCAGGACUUCAACCCUUGGAUGUAAUGGAUUUGAAUUAGUUUGGUAUGCAAAGGGCAUGACUUGGAUAGGAAAAAAAAAGUCAAGAAGCUGGAUCACCCUACAAUGGAUUCAUGUAGAUGUCCUUCAACAAAUGGCUAAAGGCUUGUCUCUACAGGCUCUCAAAGAUGGACAUAAAGGCUUACGGGGACAAAAUUACUAACAUAUAACAAUUUUGUGAAACUUGAAGUCCUUAAGAUCAAUAAAUCAGUUAUGGCAUCAAUUAAAAUUGUAAAAAAGAUAUAUCAUCACCUGAAAAAUUAAAGGUUCCCAUGAAACAAAACCCAUUUGUUCUUCCAAUCUCUUCUUUAGAGGUUUUAGUCUUUCAACCAGGACAUUGCAGGAAUGACGAACAGCUUCACAGCUUGACUCAGAUGUGGUGCUCCCGGCCAGUCCAUCCACCUUGUAUCAAACUCAAAGUAUCUGCCUGAAUAACACGCACCCUCUCCAGAAGGUACUGACCUCCAUCAGCACAUAGUUGUCCAAGAGCAAAUGCUGCCAUCUGCUUCACCUUUGUCCAGAGCCCUUGGCCUAACUCAAUCCCUCCAACUUCAACAAUGAUUGAACCAUCAUUGAGAACAGAUACUUUCCCUGGAGUUGGCCUUAGCAUCACUUUAUAUAUGAUAGGUACACAGGAAAUUCCCCGUUUUCUCCAUUUGUUGCGACUAUUAAACUCUUGAAUCAUUUCAACAUGGUGGUGAUAGCUCGCAGAUAAAGCCAAUUUAUCAAAAAUAGAUGGUAAAGUAUGUUCGGAAGCUUCUCCCUCGCAACCUCCAUAGAACAACUUGAGGCUCUCGAAGGUGUGAAGAUUCUUUCGUCUAAUAGAAUUGGCAUCAACAGAAAGGGCUGAUGCAACAUGUUCAAUAACAGCUUCAGCAAUAAAAGAUCCUUGUACAUCUCCAGGGCCCCGCAUGGUUGAUUUUGUUGAAACAUUUGUCCUGCAGACCUUCACGUCAAAUGAAAGAGCACCCCAAUUGUAUUUCUUCAAUGCUUCUAUUAUGUUUUGCGGCAUUAUUGGGCUCCAAUCUUCAGAUAUGCCUGCAUUAAUUAAGAGAUCUAUAUGCAAAGCUGUAACCUUUCCAUCACAUUUGAAACCAACAGAGUAAUUUAUUUUCAUUGGAUGUCUCCCUCCUGCCAUUAUCAUAUCAGUUUUGCGAUCAAGGUACAUUCGAACAGGACGUUGCAACUUAUACGCCGCAAGUGCACAUGCAGUUGCCACCUUAACAUCACAAGAUGUCAAUUACUUAGUUGCCUUUUUCUGACUUCAUCCAUUUUAUGCAUAAUUCCCAUAAAUAUAAAAUGAGUGCUAAAAUAAGUUUCAACUUCAAGAAACAUAAUUGGAAGUAAUAUUCAAUACUCAUGAACCAUUUCUGAGACUCAAAACACAUGAACAAUCUAUGAUUUACUGUAAAGUAAUAAGCGGUCCUAAAGUAAAAUAGGCAUCUAAAGAAUGUUUGAAGGUUAUUUAGCAGCUUGCACAUAAUGCAUCAAAAUAUAUGUACACAAUUAAUAUUUAAGUAACACAUAGAAAUGAAUGAGGUGAGCAGCAACUUGCACAAAAUCAACAGAACUAUGUUGGUGUAAAAUAAAGAUAUAAUUAUUUUGGGGGCAUUAUUCUAAAAGUACCAAUGAGUUGCUGUCUCACAAGGAAUUUGACGCAAGAGACAACAUCUGGACAACCAUGUAUCAUAACUGCAUGCAUCAAACAGUAAAAGUUUCUACAUAUUAUGUGUUCUUGCCAAAAAAAUCAGAUCAUAUUUGUUGCAAAAAUGGCAAAAGAUAUUGAUGAUAGUAAGUUUGAGUUCUCACAGAUAAUGCUCUUGUAGCCUUCCCACCAAAACCUCCUCCGACUCUUCUUGUAAUAACACGGACAUUGUGAAAGGGAAUUCCUAGGCACUUUCCAAUUACUUCCUGUGCAGUCUCAGGGCACUGAGUUGAACUGUAGACCAUUAUGCAAUUAUCUUCAUCUGGUACAGCUAGAGCUGUUUGAGUCUCCAUGUAAAAGUAAUACUGAGAACCAAAUUUAAUCUGAGGACAAUAACUGCAUUAGUUAAUUGUCAAAUGGAACUAAAACAAAAAGUUGUUUUAACCACUAAAGAACAAAGCAGUAAUAACUUCAUAAUGGUAUGGAUUGAGGGACCAUAUCAUUCCAGUAUAGUAUGUACUAUGUACUAUUCCAGUAAGGUACUUGCACGGUAGAAGAGGUACAUAAUCCUGUAUUGUUCAUGUCUGUUUUUGCUACCCCCUGAACCAACCCAUGCCAGUGCAUGCUAUUCUAGCAAGGACUGUUUCUGUUUGCCAUGAAUCGGCCCCAUGAUUGAGCAUGUGGCUGUCUCAUGCAGGGCAUGCAGUACUUUAAUUCUUAAUUGAUGCAAGCUACUGGUAGCUCCGGAAAACAUAGAAUCAUUAGCAAGACUGUAUUAUCUAAUUAUUCUUAAUAUAUAUGAGAUAGAGCGUGUCUUAGCAUCAAUUCACAGAGUCUAUAUAGUGAAAAGAAGAUCCAGAAAGUUGAAGUGGAAGGGCAUUUAUCAUUAAAUAAACUAAAAAGCCUAGCUACUGAUUUGCACAUCCUCCAAUUGUUUUACUUUGGCUAUUUGUGCACCAGCAUCUCUCACACAGUAUCUCUGAAUAAAUGGUAUGAAACAUCUAAAGUAUACACUUUCAGCAAAUUCAUUUACUGGUCAACACUAAAGAGUAAAGUCAAAUUCACUGUUCAAGUAACCAAAUAUUGUCAUAUGCACAUGUCUGUCAUUGGAUAAAUGUUUUAUGGAAGCUACUAAUGAGUUCUAUUAUCAACAUCAUUUUCAUGGUAAUCAGCUGUGUGUAAAAGGAGCAGCAUAGACUUAAAGACCAAUGAUCAAGGCGCAUACUUAUGAUCUUUGUUCAUCACUGGUAUACAUACAAGAUAUGGAAGAAAAUGGUGAGACACCCUUGGCACAUGAAUAUGUACCUCAGCUGAGAGAAUCUUGUGAUCAGCUUCAGCCAUUCCUUGGGAGAAAUCACCAACUUGUUUAGGAUAAAUAAAAGGAGGGACCUCAAAAAAACUGGAUUUUCUGACAGCCUCUUCAAUUGAUAGAAUGGGUGCUUCUAAAUUUUCUGUGCUGUAACUAACAUCUGCUUGCUUGGCACACAUGUUGGCGAGUCCCUGUGUCUCUGCAAUCUAACCAGCCAUUCAAAAAGCUUUACUUAAACAAUUCUAGACAUGAUUCCAGGCACACAUUCAAAAACUCCAACUUAGCAGUUCUCUUUUAAAGGGUAUUACAGCAAUUCAACCAAGCCAGGUAGAAUAUUUCAAUAUCACAUAAAAGAAAAAGGAAACAGAAUAGUAAAUUAGAAGAACAAUUUACCACAAGACCAAGUGGCUGACCAGAAUAUUCACUAAGAGAACUAGCAAAUAAUGGUUCAGUUCCAAACAUAGACAUAGACCCAAUGUUCAGUCCUCGUUUUGGAAUGUCUUUGAAAGAAAUAACUGUAAUGAGUUUAUUUGAUGCCAAAGAAGACCUGAAGCUGAUGCCCUUUAUAUGAGCCAAAGGUUUUGUGCUAUAGAUGAAUGCACCAUAAAGACAAUCUUUUGGAGAAGGAAUAUCAUCCACAUACACUGCUUCACCUGCAUGAUUAUGUCGUGUGAUUACUAUCACGAGAGAGGCAUAAUUUAUGCUCAAUGCAGAUAAGCACAUAAGAUAUAAUAAAUUAGCUCAGGAAAGCAAUAAGCAUGAUAAAGUCAACUGAAGAAUAUGCAAAUGAAUUGUACAGAUAUCAGGCAAAUGGAAAUAUUUGAAAAAACAAUUGAAAGAGAGCGUCAGAAAAUAAAAUCUAGAAUAUAAGGAAAGAAGACAGUUGAGGAUAGUCUCUUGUAGACACUUAUCAAGGUCCCAAAGGGACAGGAAUCCUAUAGGAUAUUAUGCACAGACACACACACAUACAUAUACAUAUACAUACAAUUCAAACGAGAAAAGCAACAAAGAAAAAUGAAGUUCCCUGGAUGGGACCUCAGCGACAAGCAAAACAAACAGUCAUAUGGCUUCAUUUCCCAGAACCCACUAUUAAGAAAAUAGGAUGCAAUUGGUCAUAACUCCCCAAACUCUAUUAUGUUUCUUUAAAAUUGAAGCUCUUACCUUUUCUAGGAUUCUCACCAUAGCGCAUGUGUAUUCCAUCUAAAUUGUUUUCUAUGUAAGCAACUUCCUAAGCAUCCUCAUUAGGUAAGAACUUAUAUAAAGGACACAAAAGGGCCCUUUUUAAGUUAAGAUGGUGAUGCUGAUGCAAGAUGUUAUAUAUUAUUUGCAUUUUGGAAAGAUUUAGAGAUUUUCAAAGUGUUUUGAGCUGAACAGAGUCCAGUGUGCCAGGCCGUGGCCACGGACAUGAGUGUGAACGCGCCAGUUCAUCCACGCGGGGCAGCGCGUGGGCACGCUGCCCCGCACAGGUCAUAAAUGCCACAGAGUGGCAUUUAGCCUUCUUUUUUUACCCGCGUCCCCGCGCAUCCGCACGCGGACGAGAACCGAAAAAAGAAAAAAGAAAACCGGUUCAUACCGGACCGGUUCCGGUACGAACUGGUCUCGAACCGGUCCGAUAGGCGACCGGUACACCUACCGGUACCGGUUCAGCGUACCUUGCCUGAGACCCUAUCUUUUACUUCUUGAUAGUAUUGAUUUGGUUUUUUAUCCUUUUAAUAGCUCUCAAUCGUCUUUAGCAAGGUCCACCGUACCGGUACCGGUCGGCGUACCGGUGGCGUCCCGGACCGGUACGAAACCGGCCCGUAUCGAUCCGUACCGGUGGCAUACCGGCCGAACCAAUGGCGUACCGGUCCGAACCGGUGGCGUACCGGUCCCGUACCGGUCCGAUACCAGUUCUUCAACAAUAAAUUACCGGUACCGGAUUUCACGCUGAUCCGGUACCAGUCCCAGGCCGGACCGGUACGGCAGACCAUGGUCUUUAGUGAUUAUUCAUAAUUGUUUUAUGAUUUUGACUAAUUGUUAUUGGAGCUUAAUUAGCCAAUUAAAGCUAGUUAAUUCUUUUGACUAGCCAUUUAUAACCAUUUAUAGAUGUUGGGCUGGUGUUGAUGGAUCUUUGAUGUUUGAGUUGCCCUUAUAAGAUCAGGAUAAUGGGCCUUAAUGUCUUUGACCCAAUCAAACCAUUUCUAAUCUCUUGAAUUUCUCUAUAUAAGAGAUGUUGAGCAGCGGUUUUGACCCGUUGAGGCCGAUUUUAAUCUCCUAGAUUUCUAUAUUUGAGAGGUUAGGCCUCUUGAGAUCUUAAAUUCUGAAAUACAAUGAGGUAGAGAGCCAUAGAGUGACACCCAACACAAUGUUCCCAUCAUUUUCUUUUUUUUUCUUUUUCCUGGUCAACCUAAAGGUGCAUUAGUGUUAGUUUCUUGAGGAUCUACUAGUGCACUAGCACCACUGGUGCAAAUCAGGUUCGUCAUGUCUUGUAGAGAAGCUGAGCCUGAAGCAUGUUCCUAUGAGGGCAGAAAGAACUUCUCCAAAGAUAGUGCCUAGCAUACCUCGGAUCAAGGUUUGAAGAACUGGUGCUAACAGGUAUGCAGGUUGGUGACUAGUACGGUAUAGCACCAGUCCAUUCCAUACCGAACUACAGAAACCGGAACCACGAGGAGGGCGAGAGAAAGAGGUCGAAGAGGAAGAAGGAGAGUGAGGGAGAGAGGAGGAUAGAGAGAGAGAUAGAGAGGAACUACUCGCCUUGUAGAAUCCCACUUCUCACUCACUCCAACGCCUCUACCACUAUCACCAAAUCUGCCAUUCGCGCGAUUUCUACUCACCGCCUUCACCAUCCUACUCGUCCUCCACCUCACCAUCUCUCCCCUCUCCAAAUCCACAAACCACUCCCUCUUCCGCUCCUUCUCUAACAACACCAUCACCUUCCCCACUGGAGAAAGUUGUAGUCUAGGGACUCCAGACUAGAAGGAUUGAGGGAUUAGGCCUCGAUCGGGAGGAACAGAGUUUGAAGUGUUGAGAAAGGGAGGGAAAGGGAGAGAAGGGAGAGGAAGAAGGAGAGGGGGAGAGAGAGAGGCCAUUCACCACCAUCAUCAAAAUCCUUUUGAGAGAGAAUGUGUGUGAAACCAGCGAAACCCUAGAGAAGAGACGAUUUACCAGGGUUUUGAAGAGGGGAGAGAGAGUGUGUGAGCCAAAGAGGUCACUCUCGAUGAGUCUCGAAGCUUCAAUCGAAGGGGUGGAGAGGCUUUUAUAUAGAAACCUAUCCGAACAACUGAACCGUCUCGAGCUAGCAUCGAUUCAGUUCGCUUCAUGCUAAACUGCCUGGUUCGGGUAGGUUCAGCAUUCCCUACAUCAGAUCAUAUGUUGUUUUUCUUUUAUUUGCAUGGAUGCUAAUACACACUACCGUUUAGGCUGGUAUGCCCUAUAGUACAUGGUAUGCUGAUGUACACUUUAGAAAAGCUAGCACAAACGACUAUACACACCUUUGUUCAUCCUGAUACAUAUCACAGCAUACUCUUGGUUUGUCUUUACCUUUAGAGACCUAUGAUAGUAUACUUAUUUGUACCAUUCUUAAUAGAAGAUAACUUUCAAGAACACUUGUAAGCAAAGUCUGCAAUCUUGGUACCAGGUACUGUAUCGGUACCUUAUCGGUUCGGUACAGUAAUGAUACACCUCUGUGCCGAAAUAGCUCUCCAACCAUUUUUCUUAAUUUCCAUCUCGGUACGGACCAGUACACACCUUGGUACGCCUUAGUACAAGUCGGUACACCUCGAUACAGAGCAAUACGUCUCGGUACGGACGGUACAGAGCUUGUAUUGACUUGAAGGUGUAUUUCGUACAAGUUUUCUGCCGGUACAGUACGAAAUGCCUCGUACCAGGCGAUACGGCAGACCAUGCUUGUAACCAAUGUUUAUCUCUCACUCCAUGAAAACUCUUAGGGCCUGUUCAGGUGAUCCAGCACGAUCUAGGUUGAAUGUUCAGUUGGAUUCAUGGACUAAGAAGUCCAUUUGAGCAUGGCAAAUAUCGACCCAACACCUUUCCAGCCCAAAUCCUGUGGAAAGGAAAAAAAGACCUCAAUGGAUGGGGGUCUUUUUUUCCUUCCCGUAGAGUAGCAGGCCCACAAGUUGGGAUUUAGGUUAGAACUUCGGUAGGUCUUUAGAAGAUGCCAGGCUGGAUGGGCCAACAAGCCAAAUUCUUGUGGGAUAUUUCUAUAGGAAUAACCAAACAAUCCCUGAAACAUAAAAAAAGACGUUUAAAUUUUGCUUACAAAAAUGAGUUGCAUACCAUGCUUUCUUAAGCUCGAUAAUAUUUGCAUCCAAAAUUAGAUCUACAUGACCCAUAAGAUUUCAUACUACUCCACAGCCAUAUUGUUAGAUCAUUCAUUGUGAUGUAUAUCUUUAGCCUCUGAUGAAUCAUGAUUUCUAUGUAGAAGGCAUAUAUGCUCAAAUUCCACAUCACUGGAUUCUUUUUUGUAGUGAGUCCCAACAAUCUCUCCCUUCCACCAUGCCCCUUCAUGGCACCCAAGAAUCUCCAAAGAAUAUAUAAAAACAUGCCCAACCUAGUAGCAUAUGAAAAUCUAAUCCUUCUACCUUGCCUGAUAUGAAACAAACUCACACCGAACACCAGGCUACCUUUUAAAACCUCUCUCUAAACUAUCUUAGAUAUUGGGAUUUACAACCUCACCCCAAUCAGUAUCAGCUAUUCUUUUCAUCAAAACCUAACCUUGAUAGUCGAUCUCCACAAAGCACCCUCAUUAUUACCUAGCACCAAAGAGCCACUAGUAUUGACCUAUUAGCCAGUCUCCUAGAUGCCAAGCUUUGAAACUCCGAACAGAUAUGUAGUCUACAUUUUUGUCUAUAAAUUUUGUAAAGCAAAAGUCUGCUCCUUAUGGAACCAAUGAACUCCAAAUAACCAACAGCUAACCAAAAUGCCUGGCAUAAAACUCAAAAUGACAGGAAGACUAUAGCGAUAUUUAAUUGACUGAAAAAGAAAAAUCAUGGUGGCUGGACUAAUUACCAUUCAUAUGCAAGUUUGAGUGAGUGAUUCUCCACAAAUGCAGAUUUAAUUGAUACUUUACAAAUGGCAUGAAGGGCCCAAUUCAUUGAAAUGCUUUUGUUAAUACUCGAACACCAAUAUCAUGGAAGUGAUCCCAGCUUAUGCAAAAGCUGUACUAUAUUACAUGCAGUAUUGAAGGCAACAAGAGAAAAAGGAAAAUGUUCUUUCUAUGUAAAGAAUACAAAAACAUAAGAAAAGUCUUCCAAGUGUCAAAAAAAGAAAGAUGUUGAUGAUGAUGAUAAGUUCAUUAAAGAAUAAAUAAAACAAUAUACCAGAUGCUUGAAUUUCAGCUCCAACUUUCUUAGUUGGUUCACCCAAUGGAUUAUUUUCCUUGCUAAAUUGCAUCACCUGCUUGGACAAUAAAAGUGUAUCACAGUUGUCAAAUCGACCAUUAUUUGCAUAAGUUGGUGCCUUAUCAGGUGAAACAUAAACAGCUCCAUUAAGACUCUCUAUUGAAUAUUCAGCACUAGCAGUAGCAUUAAAUACAUCUACAUGUAUAUUCUUUUUAGGUUGUGCCAAGUCCUUGGAUAGUGGAUGAAGAAAAUCAAAUAGAAAAGAAACAGCCAGACUUGAUCUGUAGGAGGGAUGUGGAGUGCCUUCUUUUGGUAUAAUAGCUUCUCUAAGCAAUCUAAUUGCUUCAAGUAGAAUAGAUGCGGUAACAGGUUUACCCACUAAAAAAUUCUCAACUUUCCUUGCUCUGAUAGCAUAUUCACUCCCAUAAGCACCAAAAGCCAACCGAAGGUUAUCUAUAACAAGAUUGCCUGAUAUUUUAUCUGAGGAAAUCUGAGCUAAAAAAGCAGAAUUGAGAUAAGCAACAGCAUUUCCAAGAGGGCGAGGAGCUGCUCUAAAUGUUUCAAAUAGCAAAUAGGAUUCUUUGGUAGCUUUAGAAUCAACAGAUUCCUUAAUCUCAGAAGAUGCAUUGCUAGUAUAAUUCCAACAAGGAAUAUAUAUGCUCAACAGUAGAGUUCUGUAGUCACACGGAGGCUUCUCAAAGAACUCCUCCAGUGUAAGAACCAGUCUUUCUGAAGCCACCUGUAUACAAACAGUUGAACCAGCAGCAAGAAGUAUUGUGGCAAUGUCCGAGGGCAAUUGACUCCUCUGUGUCAUGAUCAGAUUUCCACCCAAGCUUGCUGUAUUUCGAACAAAUUGUGAAGCCACCUUAUUCAUAUGAUCAGCAAUUUUAGCAAAAACCAAUCUUUGGGAUGAAAAUAAUAUACGUUCACAGUCUUCUUUCAACACUUCAAUAGCCCUAGAAAUUGUUAUGGCUGCUCCAAUUUCAUGCCUUUGUUGUUCCUUCUGAUGACUGAGAGCUCUGGGAUCCCUCUCAGAUCAAUAUAUUUGUCAUACAAAUCUAGUUCCUUGUAAACACCAGAACCAGUAUUGCCAACAACCAUCUUAACACGGCAUCCACUGAAUGUCUCAGAAUUCAGUAGUUUAUAAAGCCCAUCAACACUAUAAGGGCAAUACCAACAACCCUCUGCCAAGCUUGUAUAAUCAGAAUUGUUCAAGGCAUCCAGCAAGGAUUUAACUUCAGAUUUUAAGUAUUCUGGAAAAGUGCAGACCCCAUUGCGGCUGUGAUAUGGCAAUCGGCCAACAAGUGCAUCUUUGUCCCCUUUCUUCCAAAAAGAAUUGAGCCCCAAAUCUUCCAAAUCAACAUCAGCUGCAAAGCUCUUGCAAGCAUCUAAGAUGGGUCGAUAACCAGUACAUCGGCACAGAUUGCCUGCAAUAGCCUUCUCUGCUUCAGAUGCUGUGAGCUUUGAGAACCCAUCUGGAGGCUCAGGCCUAUUGGAUUUAUCUGCCUUGACAAGGGCAGAGAAGAGAGACAUGCACAUGCCAGGUGUGCAAAAGCCACAUUGAGAGGCAUGAAACCCAGAGAACCUCUGGUGGAUUGGAUGAAAGCCAUCAUUGCUGUUGCCAAGCCCCUCUGUCGUUAUGACUGAACAGAAAUUUAUGCUGCAAAGAAGUGUGAGGCAAGAGCUUACAGCAAAUUCUUCCACUCGAUUAUGUACUGGGUCAUAGGUUGACAGAAGAACGACACAAGCUCCACAGCCACCUAUAGCAUGUGGUAGAAGAACGAGUAAACUGAUUCAAUCAUCAUCAGCAAACUCCUAUAUCAUUCUUUUAAAUAUGAGAACAUAUGUACAUUUGAUUAAGAAAAAUCCAACUACAGCACCAUUCUAGAAAUCUUAUAGCUUGCAAAACCAUGAAUUUUAAUUUUUUUUACUCCAAAUGUCAUAUAUCUGGUCUUCAAAUAAAACAAAGAAUCCAUAAAUUUGUGCCAAAAACAGAAUUCUUUCAGAAACUUAUAUUACUUCUAAAGUAGAAGGAGACAACUGAAAACUUUAACUACCCAUGACAUCAAGAAAAAAAUCCAACAAUCUUUAAAAGAAAAAAAAAUCCAACAAACACCAAACCAACAUUCAGAACAGGCAUCAAAGCAGCACAUCUGGCAAAUUUAUGCUCCAGGCAUAGUGACCAAUACCGCUAGCCUAUCACCAAAACAACAACAAAUCUUUAUGCUUGUGCAGUGGUCAACACCUUUAAAGCAUGACCAAACUUCAGUUAAGGAAAAGAAUCAUAUAUUGAAGCUCAGAACAAUGAUAUGCAAAGAGAGAAACAGUAAUCUAUUAUAUAAAAUGAGGAAAAGUUCCAAGCUUUCUGUUUGGAUUGAGAGAGUAGGAGAGAAGAGAAGAGAAAGAGAAGAGAGAAAGUAAUGACAUGAAAUUUUUGAGAAAUUCAGGGGGAGUACCACCACCGGGCUACAAUAGGAGAAGGGUGCCAACCAGAAGAGCCAAGGCUAGUUGGCUUAGAGACAACUGAAUAACACAAAUUUGUGAGCAAACUUUUAUCAGAUAACGAAAAUCCACUAAGAAAUGUGGAUUCCUUUGUACAACAGCUCCUGCUAACCAAAAUUCAGAAAUCUAAUUUAAAAACAAAUCUAAAAAUUGCCAAACAAAAAUAAAAAAACCAUUUGACAAAUUCGUACUCCAGAUAAGUCACCAAUAGCAUUAACUUCUGACCAAAUUUCUAUAUAUUUGUAAAAUACAAUAUCUUCAACCACGUAUCAGUAAUUUACCUAAAAUAGCAAAAAUCCAUAAAGAGAAACAAGUAAAAGAUCACAGCUUUUCUUACCCUGGUAACGAAAGAUCAAAUCUUUAAACAGAACUCACCUCAUCCAACAUAAGGAGGAAAAACAAAAUAUCUUCAAAGGAAAAAAAUAAAAGCAAGAAUCCUCACCUUCUCCACAGGCGAGCUUCGCUCCUUUGAAACGGGUCUGGGUCCGCAGGAACUCGAGCAGCGUGGUGUUAGGGUCGACCCUCGAAAGCUCGAACCGCUCCCCGUUCACAGCGAACACUAGGCUACGCUCCACCACCUCCCCCUUCUCCGCCGCCAUGACCGUGACUUCCUCCUCCUCCUGCUCUGGAGACAUUCUGACCUCCAAUUUUUACUGACGACUAAGACGAGGUCGAUCGCCGCCCAAUCCGGAAUAUGGAACCUGGGCGGCCGCCCGAGAGCCAAGACUAAAUAAUAAACCAAACAAAGAGUUAUCACGUAAGAAGUCACUAUAUUGCGGUUCUCACUGUCAACUACUGGGGAGUGACGACAGUCAUGAGAAAAUUCUUUUUUCCGGCGGGGGCAGGUGGCGAUGGGGAAGGCGACGACAGAGAUAGGCAUGGCUUCCGAUAACCGACCGGUGCAUCCAGGCCCAGAUUGGAACCUCCCGGACGUCUCCUGUCCUGUGCGUUAUUGCGUGCGGAUGCAGGUACUCGUGCCAACGUCUAACACGCUCUACGUUGUGAUUUUCUUACUUUUACAAAUAAACAUAUAAAAAAAAAAAUAAUUAUCAUCAUGAAUGACUUGCAUGAUGCAGCAAUACGUCAUUGAUCCAAUACUUCACGUUACUAGCUUAAAAAAUAAUUGUUCUAUUAAUAAAAAUUCAUUUUCAGUACAAUAUAUAAUUAACUAAUCAAGAUGUCAAUUAAAAUGGACAAUUUUUAUUCAAAUAAAUCUAACUUAGGCUAAAGUAGUCAAAAAGGUCAUUAUAAUGUCAUUAUAAUAGAAAAUAAUAAUAGUUGAGAUUCGUUUUUAAAUAUAUCAGUGUUAUUAUAAACUUGAUGUGAAUUGUUUGAUUUGGUACUAAUAUAUAGUCAGUGCCCUCUAUAGCUUUGAAAGUUGAGGAAAAAUCUAAAGUUGGGAGAAAAAAGAAUCGACAUUUUACCUACGUUGACAGCGAAGAUAAUAAUAUAACAUUCAUUGCACCAUUCAAAAGGCGGAUUGCUUGCAUAAGUUAUUACCUUUUUCUUUGCACCAAGUCAACUAGAGUUUUAUUAUUAUUUCAUCUACAGUAAUAUAAGAUAACAAUAGAGACAUUUCACCUACAUUCAAAUGGUAGGUUUUUAUAGAGGUGAUCAUGAAUUUGGCCGAGUAUAAAAAAUAUCAAAUUUUAAAUAGGUAUGCCUUAAAGCCUGUCUAAAAAUAAAUAUAGUAUAAAGUUAAAUUCAAGGCUCAUCCCAUAAUCAGCUUUAGUUGCUAGUUAUAUAAGUUAUUAGAUAAUGUUACCCUAAGAUAAUUAAAGUUCUACUGCCACCACCAUCAUUAUUGACGAUGAUGAUACUGCUAUUGUUGAUGUUGUUGCUGUUAAUAUUGUUGUUGUUGUUUGUAAUAACUGAGUAUUGUAUUAUCUAUAUGUUUAAUAAUAAACAAGUACAAAUAAUAGAUAAUGAAGUAUCGUACUAUUAUAAAUAUUAAGUAUCAAUUAUAAAAGUACCAACUAUAUUUAUAUAAUUGAUAUUUGAAAAUAUUAUAUAAUUAUAAAAGUUUUACACUCGUCACGUGGAUGCCUAUACUAAUAAUGUCACUAAUAUGAUUCUUUAUUUUAUAAAAUGAGUAGGGAUCUUAUAACUAAUACAAGAGGAUGAUAGGCUUUAAAUAAUUAUGUAUAUAUAGCAGAUAUAUAUUAUUAGUGAGUAUUAUAUUAUAUAUUCCUUUGAUGAUAAGUAAGUAUAAGUGAUAAAUAAUGGAAUAUCUUACUGCUAUUAAUGUUAAGUAUCAAUUAUACCUAUAUAAUUGAUAUAAGUAUGUGGAUUCCUAUACUAAUAAUAUCACUCAUAUGAUUCUUUGUUUUGUAUAAUAAGUAGGGAUCUUAUAACUGAUACAAGAGGAUGAUAGGCUUUAAAUAAUUACUUAAAUGUAAUAGAUAUAUAUUAUAAGUAAGUAUUAUAUUAUCUGUUCCUUUAAUGAUAAGUAAGUAUGAGUGAUAAAUAAUGAAGUAUCUUACUAUUAUUAAUAUUAAGUAUCAAUUAUACCUAUAUAAUUGAUAUAUGUAGAAUUUAUACUCGAGAAUAUCAUCUAUCUAAAAUAUAUAAGUAUUAUAUAUGUAUAAACUGAUAUCACCAUAUUAAUUUAUACAAAUCUAAAUUGAUAUUCAUUUGGUUAUUGAAAAAAGAAGAAAAAAACCAUACCUAGCACAUUGCAUGGAAUUGGUAUUAGAGUGUCAUUAUUAAUGGUAAAAGUUUUUCCAUAAAGGCUCAACUUUUGCAGAGUUCUCCAUUCACUAUAUAGAUAUCAAUAUUAAUAACAGGAGAUUCUACUCAUCCAUCAUUAAAUUUAAUUGCUUAAUAUGUAACAAAAUAAAAAGGCUAUUGGUGCCUUCUAUCUAUUAUAAUUUAUUAUAUUUCAAGAACAAUUGAGAAAAGAAAAAAAGAAGUGCACCUCGCAUCACGUAGGUUAUAUGUUAGUAGUUCUUCACCAUACCAAUAUUCCUACUAUAUAUCUAUUCAUAUAGAUAAUUCAUGACACUUCUUGUCCCCAACAUUAAGACUUCUCAACUUUCUAAAAGAUAUAAAUAAAUAACUUCACACCACAUAUUAACUAUAUUUACUGAAGCCUAAAAAGACUAAUAAACAUAUUGAAAAUUAACAAAACAUGAUUAAAACAUUAUAAUUACUACUAUUGAUAACUAAAUACUAUUGACUUUGUCUUUGACUAAUUAUGGCUUCUCCAAGAUGGGUCGAACCAAGAUCAGUGGACCCAACAUGGUUGGUCCAUUGCUCCUGUAUCAUAUUUGUUAUACUUCGACCUAGCAUUUAGGAUGUCAUUUAUUUCGUAGCCACACUAUCAGUAAGCUUAUAUCAUAUGAUAUUUUUAACAUCAUAUGAUAGAAAGCAAUAUCUAUUAGGCUUCAUAGGAGGUAUUACCUCCAUGAGAUCUCAAAAAUUCUGUAGUUUGUUAGGAGUAAGAUCACAUCAAAAUUGUAGUACAAAACAUGAUAUGAAAUUCUUGAGCUUAUUUCAUCACUUAUUUAUUUUGUAUUUGUUUUCUCUUUUGGUAAGUUAGGGAAUAAGGAGAUAAGAGAGUUGCAAGGAAAGUGUACUUGUUAAUUUCUAAAAGUUGUUAAAGAUACAUUUGCAUUUGGUUGACCUAUAUGCCAUAUGUAGGUGAAUUCUACCACUAUCACAAACUUAAUAAUGUUAAAAUAUUUCCAUAUAUACUUCUGUAACUAACACCAUUAAGAGGGCACAAAAAGGUAUUAUAAUGGCAUUGCUCGGGUAAGGAGCUUGUCGUGGGCACUUAUAUAAUAGUUACUUUAUUAUUAAAGAGUGCUUGCAAGAAUGAUUCCUAAUUAUACUCCUAGGUUGCUAGAGUCAGUAAACUUGAUCUAAAUUGUUAAAAGUAUGUCCUAGAAGCCAAUUUGGCUGAUGCAUUAUUUAGUUUAGGACAUAAAUUUGUAAUUGACCUAAUUAUGAAUUUAUUAAGUUGGGCAUUCUUUUCAUUCAUGUUCUUAUGUGUCCAUGAAUCGUCCAAAGAAUUAAUAAGAUGAUGACGCAGAUUCUCAAGAGUUAAGAAUUUGAGGCAUGUGCCAUUGGUGAUUAAUUUCUGAAUUGCUCCUGAUUGAUGGAUCAUCAUGAGGAUGGUGAUCGAUCCGCUAAUAUUAGUGCACAAAUUACUUUCUUUGAUGGACGAAUUUUGAGUCCACAGUGUGGAGACACUGGAGUGAUUGUGCAAGUGCUUGUUAGAGAACAAGGGUACUGAGCGUGACCAUAGCAAGUAGUCACUUGGAUAUCUAUCCACUCGUUUGUGACUUACUUGAUGCUGCAGUUGUAUGACUGGUCCUUUGACCUGCGAUGCCUCGGCUAUUCACAGUAAGGUUGCUGUAGUUUGACGAGCACAUAAACAUGGGCCCUAUCCAUUUAGGUCCUUGUGGUGCAGAUUGGCUGCAGUAGGUUCAUUGUAGGAGUAUGAGUGCAUCUAGAUAGAAUCUAUCGGCCUUGAUAGAUUAGAAGAGAUCCUAUGUGAUUUAUGAAACUGAGUUCGUAAAUUCUUGACUAAGGUAGUUUUUGAAAAAGAAUUUUUCAAUCUCAAACUAGAGUCGAAUAAAUCUUGACAUAUGACAGACGAUGGGGUUGGACGAGUUAUCCAUGGCCUUCAUCCUGUCGGGAUCCACGAUAGAGGGACUGUAUCAUGCACUAACUGCACCUAGAGGUUCAUCAUUCCAUUCUGCUGGGUUGCCACUACAUGCUGCUAGGUGUCACUGGUGGAUUGUGAGACUCAAAGGCAUUCACUUGGUGAUCAGUGCAUCCGAAUAAGAAGAGUUGGAAUUAUUCCAACCCAUUGAAAAGAGUUUCAAUGAUGUUGUGAUAGAAAUUAUAAUAUAUCUCAUUACCAGAUAGAAUAGAACCUAUGGGGUCACACACAAGAGAGGAUCUGAUCGAUUUAAUAGUUGGAUUAUAAUUUGGAAACACAAUAGUUUGUAAUUAUCAAUUGGUUUAGCCCACUAAGAGUUAGUGAGUUGAAGAAGAAAUUAAUUGCAAUUGGAUUGCAAUUUGAUUGAAUCAAUUGGACUUAAUUAAUUGGGCUCGAUCUUAUUUGAUAAGGUUCAAGAGUCCUACUUAGAGUAGAAUUUCUAGAGUUCUAAUUGGAUUAGGACUUCAAAUUAUUAGAGUCCUACUUGGAGUAGGAUUCCUAAAGUCUUAAUAGAAUUAGAACUAAAAUUAUAUGAGUCCUAAUUAGAUUAGAACUGCUAGAGUCCUAAUUAAUAUUGGUCUAAUAGAUGAAGAUGACUCCUAAUUAGAUUAGGAUUGAAGAGUUCAAUUGAGUUAUGAUCCAAUUGGAUCCUAAUUAGAUUAGAACUCCAAGAGUCAUAAUUGAUUCAAUCUUAUGGAUAAGGAUCUUGAAUCAAACAGGGAGACUAAUUGGGUCCUAAUUAGAUUAGGCUUCAAUGUAUCAAGGGCCACCUAAAUCCUAAGUUGAUUAGGAUUAGAAGAGAGGGGCAAGAACCCCUCCUUUUCCUGGGUACUCCCGGAAUUCGUGUCCCAGUUGGCCGAGACGCGCGUCCUGGGUGUCCAGGAUGCAAGACCCAAUUGGGGCGUGGCUCCUCCUAAUUUUAAGGAGGAGGCCACACCUAGGGUAAGGCUAUAAAAAAGGAGGGCUAGCCCUAGACUUGUUUCAUCGGUUUAUGGUUCCUUUCUUGGUGUUGGCGGCCUCCAUCCCUCUCUUCCUUCAUCCAUCCGCAAGGAAAAAAAGGGCAGAAAGUUGGAGUCUUCUUCAUCAGCCGCAUGGAAGAAAACAUAGAGAAAAAGGUGUUCUUCUCUUCCCUCCUUCUUCCUUCCUCCAAGAAAAGGAGAAAGCAUUUCUCCUUCUCCUUCUUCCUCCUCUUGGAAGCAAUCAAGAAUUGAAUACUUAGAGAAAUUCCAACCAUCAAAAGGGAUCUCUGCAAGGGAACUAACAUCCCGGUGAGAUCAUGAACUUGAUCGAUUCAGAUCUUCUUAUGGAUAUUCGUAGAGGCCGGACACUUGUGCACCUUCAAGCGAACUCGAUUUUCACGAUCAUCAGAUAGCUGUGAAGAUCUAUCCGUUCAAAGGUAAAAAUUUAAUCUUUACAAUUUUAAUUGUAGAUCUAAAAUUAAUCAAGUAAUUAUUUUUAAUCUUUUUUUAGAUUUCAUAAUUUUUUAAGUUAGAGAACUCAGAAUUUUUUUGAAAUCUACGUUCCUUAGGAUGUUCAUGUGAUGAAUGACUCCGCGCGUGUAUUUCUGUCACAAUACGUGCGGGGGUAACCCGACAUAAGUUACAUAGUCAAUAAGAUAAAAUAACAAAUUUGCCUUUAAAAAAAAACUAGGAUAUAGGAGAAAACUAAUUAUGGAUUUAAAAUUCUAAUCCAAAACACUGAAGAGUCGCCUUAAAGCAGAAGGACUCUUCAUGCAGAAUUUUACCGAUGUUUUUUCGAAGGGAUGCCAAGCAUUAGUGAGGCGCCAACCAACAUCCAAGGGAUGAAGUUAAUCAAAAGGUGGCGCCCCAUAGGGAUAAAAAUGUGAGAAGAUAAGAGAAGAAAAGAUAAGAUAAAAGAGGAAGUUAAAUGGAUAAAAUUUCUUUAUCCAAAUGGAAUUUUCAUAAUUAUCCAUUUAUAGCACUAUCAAACCCAAUCCAAUUGGGUUCAAACCAAGCCAAUUAGGUGUCAACUCUUGGUUAACCCAAACUAGAAUAUGAUCUAACCAAAAGGCCAAUUUAAUUAGAUCAAUCGAAAUCAAGAAUCAAAUUCGAAUCCAAUUCAAACUAGGAGCUAGAGUUUGCAACACGUGCUAGCAUGUUCAUUCUGCAAACAUGAUCUAAACUAAUUAGAUCCUCAAUUAGUUUCCUUGUGUGUGACCUAUUGGGUUUUAUAUCUAGCCAACAGUAGGUCCGGGUGCAAUUGACCUGAUUCGAUUAGAACUCUUCUAAUCAAUUUAGGUUCAAACUGUGCAAACCUGAGCUAAACAAUUAGAAUUCUUUCUAAUUGGUGAUCGAAUUAAAUUCUUUAAUUCGAUCAAACCUACAAGACAAGAUUGACGUCUAGCAAUGUAUCAUGUCUACCCGAAAGAUAUAAAAUUUGGUGAAAAUACCAAAUAUACUCUUCAAUGGCAAGUUACCGUGCAAUUUAAUCCUUCAAUCAAUCUGCAUCCCGAAUAUAUAUAUGAGUAUGGAUCUAUGUUAAACUCAAUUACAUAUUCAUGUCUCUCUCAAUCUUGUAAUGAUAAUUCUAAUAAUGAAACAUUAGAAACUCUUUCUAAUUUUUAUUCUGCUUUGAUCAAAGACUUUCUGAAUUAUCAUAUGAUUAGAGAAAGUAGGAUGCGAUAUUCUCUUAUUAGAAGUGAUUGAUUCUUUGUUGAUCUACUCACAACCUUCAUGCACAAUCCACCAUAUCCAGAACACCCCUUACACGACUUUAGUCAUGAUUGAGUAUGAACCAAAACAUGGAUUCAUGUGCACAAGAUACCAUGGUGGUCUCAGGUUAAAAGAUCAGUUAUAUAACUCCCAUUAAGAGAAUUAUCUUUUGACAUGUAAGUAAAACUCCAUAAAAUAUUCUCUUGGCAGGUUAAUUCAGUGAACUCAUUCUCUAAUAAGUACCUACAUCAUUGUAUUAGUGUCUCCACAUAAGUGAUUGUGAGAUCAAUCACUCUCUCUAUUGAGCAUACAAAGGAUGUGUCAGUCUUUCCGGUAACAUUGAUCUUCGACUCAAUGUACCAACAACUAAGAAUAUUUUAGAUUAGGGUUUUAGGUCUCACUUGCAUGAUCUCAUCAUAGCCCUAAAACCAUUGCCCUUAUCUAUGGGGUUCAUCAUAAAUAUAAGAUGCAACAUAUGAUGAAAUAUAAUACCUUUUUUAUUUAUAAUAAAAUGUCAUGUACAUGAGCUGGAAAAUCAAAAGAAAUCCUAUCGCAAUACAGAUUGCAAUUGGCUUGUAGGGCAUUAUUCUUUCCAAGUGAACAUCUAGAAUAUUGGAAUAUGUUAAACCUGAUAAAAAGAUGAGCUCUCAAUUAGCAGUCUUUUCAUACCCAUAAGAAGUAGGAAAAAUUCUUGCUUGUUGUGAAAAAUAUUCUCAUUUUUUUAUGAAAAAUCAAAAGUAAUACUUAACGUUAAUUUUGUGCAAUAAGAUGUGAUUAGGAAACUAGGAUAAAAGUACUUGUAAUUAGAAUUUAACUUAUCAAUGAAAUUAAAGAUUUAGGUUUUUUGCUUAACUGACUAUAAAGAUAUGAGGAAACAUUAAGAAGAAGGUACUAAACUGCAGAAGAAAAUAGGAUAAAAGUUUUCAUUUUUUGGAAUUUUUAUUAAUUUAUUGUUAAAAAACUAAUUCAACACAUAUUUUAUAAAAUAUGUUAUUAUAAUGUCAUUAUAGUGUAAGUUUUAAUUACUAUAAUGCAUAGCCUGGAAACCUUCUUUUGUCAAUUUAGAAAACUGCCUUCAAUCUUGUCUUUAUAAUUUAUUAUAUUAAAAUUAUCAAAAAUGGGUGCAACAUCUUCUAUGGGUAUGACAUUCCUCCAUGCAAGGCUCUUUCACAAAACAUCGCAAUGAUUUAUUCUUACCAACUCCAAUCAUCCUUUCUUCUUUUACUUCAUUGAAAUUUGUCAAUUGUCCAAUAACCAUUCCUGUUUGUGUAUUGUUUCUUGAGGUCUUCAUAUGCCCUGAUUCUCAAAAUCAAAAGCAUCUGAGAAAAUUAUAUCAAGAAAGUUCUAUUAGUUUACCUUCCUCUCAUCUUACAGUAGCAUUGCAGCCGACCCGCAAAAAAAUCUUCAAAAUGUAACCACCAUCAUAAAUAUAAUUAAUAAAAAUUAUAUUUUAGUUAAAAUUAAUAAAAUAUAUUCACCCAAAUUUUGUAUUUGUCAGUGGGCAAGGCACUAUUGCGUGCUACCUCAAAAGCCAAAAGAAACAUUUAAAGAGUCAUGACAAGCAUUGCAGGAGUGUAUACUGGCUUUCAUGAUCCCAAGAAGAAACUUUCGCAAAGAAAUCUUCAAGCAAAUAGAGUUUUUUUAAUUAUUAACCUUUUCUACUAUAACGUCUAUUUAUAUUUAACAUCAAUAAUAAUAAUAAUAAUAAUAAUAAUAAUAAUAAUAAUAAUAAUAAUAAUAAUAAUAAUAAUAAUAGUAAUAAUAAUAAUAUAUUAAUAUUAUUUUUAUUUUUCUGUCACAUCAUCAUCAUUUAUGAUCUUUUCUGAUGUUUGCAAAGAAUUAUUUGCCACAUCGCCAACAAAAAAAGGCCUGCAUAAAUUUUUUUUGCUUUAACUAAUAUUAUUUCUUAAAAUUACUAAUCAAGUAUUGUAUAUUAGAAAUAUGCUAAACACAGUUCUGAAAUAAUUAUAUUUUUUAGAGCAUAUAAUUUGAACAUUCAACGUUUGGUUACUUAUUCAUUAAUAACUUUUUUUAGCUAUUUAUGCUAUUUUAUAUGCAUGAAUAUUUAAUCAUUUUCUUUUCCAAGUUCUAUGUGGUGUUGGUGGUGGUACAAUUUGCUUAACCCAUAAUUUUUUUUUUAUAUAUAGUGAACUCAGGUUAGAUGGCAUAAAACAAAAAAAAUAUGGCUGUUAUGAGAUUUAUUUAUUUAUGUUACUCGUGCUAAUCAUCUUUUUCAAUUUUUUUUGCCUAUUAUUCAAUUUAAUCCUUCCGGUUAUUUUCUAGUGGCCCAUUCAAGCUGUGGCCCGCGAUCUCUGGGCGGACCGAGGCUUUUCUCAGCUCUAGAUGCAAACCCUUGUUAACCCCUCAACAAGUUCUCCCACUCGCAACGCGAGCCUCACGUCUUUCGUUCCCCAUGGGGGCUCUGCGGCUCCCAUUCCUCGCCCUCCUCCUCUCCCCUUCCUCAGCCCUCCGAUCCUCCUCCGCUUCCCUCCCCCUCCGCCUCCGUCCACCGGCCAUUCGCAAGGUCUCCGCUUCCCUCUCCGGCGGCGCAAGCAGAGCUCUCUCCACCCAGAGCCUCGCGAAUGAGGAGCCCACGCCGCCGUCCGCGGCCGACCGAAAGCCCUUUUCGAGCCAGGAGGGGUCGGUGACCCCUCGAUCGGUGGACUUCAAUGCGUGGUAUCUUGAUGUUAUCGCCAGCGCGGAGCUCGCGGACUAUGGCCCCGUCCGCGGCACCAUGGUCAUCCGCCCAUAUGGCUAUGCCAUCUGGGAAUCCAUCCAAGUGCUCUCCCUCUUCUUCUUAAUAUCCAUACUUAUUGAUUGCUUGUAUAAAAAUUAGGUUUUGAAACGUGCUUUGGUUUUUCCAGGAAUAUCUGAAUGCAAAGUUCAAGGAAACUGGACAUAGCAACAUGUACUUUCCUCAGGUGUGCCAUUCUUUUUUUUAUUACGAUUUGAUUUGCAGUACUUUACUAUCCACGGAUGUUUUGAUUUUUUAAAUAAUAUUGUGAGCUAUUAAUGGGUGUUGCUCCAUAUUCAAGAAAAGGUGUACAGCGUUGACAAUUUACUUCGCGACAAGUUAUAUUCUGAAGCUUUUAAUUGCAUAACAUCUUGGACUAUAAUCACUUUGAUUUCAGAAACUUUGGAAUCGAAGUACCAGGCCUCGGCUAUGAAGGCUAGAUUGUUGUAAUUUGUUUAUUGUGAAAAACUCACUUUUGGCAACUUUUGAAGUUGGGAAAUGGAUGCAAACAUCUCCAAAAGAUUUGAUGGGGAUAUUCCUCAAUGAACAUAGAAAUAACUUUUUUGAAUAAAUUAGAAAUGAUUCUUAUCCUUCCUGAACAGAAUCUUUUCUCUUAUAACAUCACAGUCAGAUACUGAGAAAAAUCUAAAUAUAGGAAUUCAAGUGUGAGUUGAGAAUGUUUUUGGGGCAUAAAUUUUAUUGUUAUGGCCUCCCUGGAAACCUGUUUUCUUGUGAUUUUACAUGUGAUAAAUGUUGUGCACAUAGUUAAUCAGUGAAUUAUAUGUCUGACAAGGUUUAGGCAUUGGUUAGGGAAUCAUCUAGAACUAUUUAAGAAAAAAAUACUUUGGCAUGGUUGGGUCUAAUAUGCUCAUUUUAUUGCUCAUUUGACUUCUAUUUCAUGUUUUCCAUGCUGCAAGUUCCUUUUCUCUAAUAAGUCAGGAAGUUUGCAUAGAACUGCACUAGUAUUUCUAACUUCUCUUGACGCUAUCUUAACAUUAUUGAGUUGGAUGCAAAUCUAUAUGCAUUAUGGAUUGGACAAAAGGUGAUGCAGCAUUAUGCAGAAUAAUUUGUUUCUACAAUUUAGGUAACUGGAUGGAGGUAAUAUGAGAAAACACUGAAUCAAUAAGGUUAUGCUAGAAUGGCAAAGUAAUGAGACCUCCUUGCCAGCUCAAACUUAUAGAACUUUUCUGAAAACAGCUGUUAGGUAUUUAAAUCUCUCUAAGCACAAGAACAAGAAAAUCAAGUCAAAGCUUGACAUUAUCAAGGAACGAAAUGCUUUCUUGAACUGGAGUAACAGAGAGAUACAAUGAUGCUAUUAUAUGGUCAAGAAAUGGGGAGGUGACAACUCCCAUACUGAAACUUUUAGGGCUUAAAGAAUAUAAUAUCAAGAAAUGGCGCCUUUCCCUUUCUAAUGCAAUCAGGAUUUUUACCUCACAGCCCUACCUUAAAUCUGUGGGUGCAGGUGCAUGCAUGUGCUUGUGCCGGUCUGGCUACUAUUUAUCCAGGACUGUUUCUGCUUAGCAAUCACUUAGUCUUUCCAGAAUGUAACAAUUGACAUGACUUUAAAUGAAGAAGCAGAUGGAUGCCACACCAGAUAUUUUUCCAUACUGAAGUUUUUUUGGCAAUGUAUUAAAUAGUGAUUAUAGAUGCAACUGUACAAUGUCCCUGUAUAGAGUGUUGCUCAAAAAGUUUAAUAUAAUUGAAGAGUUCAAAAAUUCCAAGAUUUGACUUUUUUUUGGAGAAAUUGACCAAGCAUCUAGGUUCACAUUUAUCUUUUCUCAUGAAAUAGGUUUUAUAACGGGCUAUACACUUUAGCUUCCUAAAUUUAGAUUUUCAGUCAAUUGUUAAUUAACUACUAGGGCUAUUUAGUCCAUUAUCUUCCAAAAUGUAAGCAAAAUAAACAUAUUUGAAUUUUAUAUGGGCAUUUUCUUCUAGAAAAUCUUGGCCAAAUAUAAUAGAAUACUUCUAUCUUUUUAGUACGUUUUAUCACCCUUUUCUUCUUUGCACGAAGAGAGUGCACUUUGUUGGUAUUUCCUCUUAUUGUAAAAAGUCCACCCUGCCUUUCAUAUUUCACAACUUGGCAAUAUCUGCUAUCAUCAUUUCUCUCUUCCCUUGGUUCGCUCUCUUCAUCCUCGGAGACAGGCUUGCCCGUGGUCUGGUGGAACCCUACUAUUUUAUUACUACAUUCAGACUGGAGUUGGUAUAAGGUUUCAAAUUGAAAAAUAUAAGACUACUCUCCCUUUAUGCAACAAAUGUUUGCCAUCCUGAUUCUUCACGUUGAAAUUGUGUGAUAUUUCUUUUGCCUGAUACUUUCAUUGCUGCAGUUUAUUCCAUACUCAUUUAUAGAGAAGGAAGCGAGCCAUGUUGAAGGUUUCAGUCCAGAAUUAGCACUUGUGACCAUUGGAGGAGGAAAGGAGCUUGAAGAAAAACUUGUGGUAUUCUGCUUUUAUUCAUUAUUAAACUGACAUGCCUUUCUGCUGUCUUAUCUUCACCUAGAUUUCAUUUUUAAAAGAGAUUUGCAUUAUAAAUGUCAUAUUAGUUACAUAUUCUAUUAGUUACUGAAGGAACUUUGAUUUUAAUGUUGAAUUUUUACUUACACUUUUGAGCGUAUGGUAGGUACGACCAACAAGUGAGACCAUUGUAAAUCAUAUGUUUACUCAAUGGAUACAAAGUUAUCGUGAUCUUCCUCUUAUGAUUAAUCAGGUUAAGGGCGAUACCUGACUAUUGUUUCUAUAUUUUUAUAUAGUAAUUUAACAUUUUGUAUAAAAUAGUAUUUUAUCUUUAUAGUGGGCUAAUGUCACAAGAUGGGAAAUGAGGACUAAGCCAUUUGUGAGGACACUUGAGUUCCUGUGGCAGGAGGGUCAUACGGCUCAUGCAACUCUAGAGGAGGCAGAAAAGGAGGUCCGUGAUUGUGACACUUUGUUACUUACACAACUUGAAGUUUUCUGGAUUUUUGAUUCUUCUUUUUUAAUGUUUUUGUGCCACAGGCAUUACAGAUGAUUGAUGUCUACAAGAAAUUUGCUUAUGAGCAAGCAGCAAUACCUGUUAUUGCAGGUAGAAAAUCAAGGGCUGAGACGUUUGCUGGUGCUACUCAGACCUAUACAAUUGAAGCUAUGAUGGGUGAUAGAAAAGCUUUACAAGCUGGAACGAGUCACAAUCUUGGCCAGAACUUUUCUCGUGCCUUUGCAACGCAGGUUAUUUGUUCUUCAACCUUUACUUCCUAUGCCUUUUGUGUUUUAAAUAGGAAGUUUUGAAUUUUCUGCCUUUCUAACAGAUCAGAAAUUGCUUAAUCACAAAAUUUUAUUGCAUAUAUCUGAUUUCUUGAUAUACGUAUGCUACUUGACCUUGUUUACUUGGAUGAGAUUUCGUUGUUAAUGUCGAAUAUUUGUGUUGCUCUAGCUUGUUUUGUACCAUUCUGACUCCAUUUGUAUUUGUGAACACUAGCAUAACACUUGUUGCUUUUCCUGUAGACAAAGUUACUUUCCUAAGCUUCAAAAUGGUGUUUCUUUGUAUUUGCUUUACUACUUAAAAUGCCUAUAUUAAUCAUUAGUCUCUUGUAAUUUAAUAGGUUAAAUAACAAUUACAUUUUACCUAGUUGAGAUUCCAUUUUAAUGCUAUUCAUCUCUUUUAUGAAAGAUUUUCACUUGUUUUUCUUAUUAUGAUAUCUCAUAGUAAUAUUCUUUUUGAAGAAGAUGAGAGAAGAUUUAAUGGAAAACUCUGCACUUUUGUCUUUUAGCUGACAUGAUUGUACAUGUAUAACAAUUAUAUCAUAUAAAAGAAAAAAGAUCAUAUGCAAUCUUGAAAUUUAUGUAAAAGCAUGGUGCAAGGUUGGUGGAACCGUCCUGAAUUGUGAGGUUUCGGUUGAUCCAAGCCGUACCGGUGGCCUCACCGGUACUGUUUUAGCAAUGAAAAUGAGACCUAUUGCCGGAGCCGGAGGAGAAGAAGGAAAGAGAGCGAGCGGGGGAGGGAGAGAGAAGGAGAGGUUGGAAUGCCGAUAGAGGGUCGGCGGAGUCUGGCGGAGGGCGGCAGAGGAGGCGAUAGGGGAGGCCGCAAUCGGUUCUCCUGUUUUGAACGAAACAGGGGUCCGGUUGUGGCCUUGAAAAAUUUUGCAAUUUGAAAGUGAAAUCGAUAAAUUGCUUGCUGACUUCACAUAAAAAUUGCAAAAUUUUUUAAGGUUGCGGCUAGACCCUGUUUCAUUCGAAAUAGGAGAACUGACUGCGGCCUCGCUUUCCGCGGACUUUGCCGGCCACCGCCGGCCCUCCGCCGGCGUCCGCCACCCUCCUCUAGCCUCCCUUCCUCUUCUCUCUCUCUCUUUUCCUCUCUCUCACGGUACCAUGCCUUCUGUCGGUAUAGGCCCGGCACGUCCCAUACCAAGUCUUGCCGCCGGAGAACUGGUAUGUUGCCGGUACCGGUUCCUCGGCCCUUGGCAUGGUGCCUCUGCUCGACUUGUUCUAUAUUGGAUUGGGUGCAUUUCUUUGUUGCAUUUUGGUCAUGAGGAUUUUGGCUGUAAGUGGGAGAAAUGAUUAUGUAAUCUCGUUUGAGUGACAAUUUUCACACUUUUACCUUUUCAAUAUUUCAUUAAAGUAUUUCCUUAUGUAACUAAGAAGAGUGGACAAAAUAUUGCAAAACCAUUUUGUUGGUUUACUUGGUUGUUGUUAAAAGGAAAAAAACUGAAAAGCAAGUUAUUUUCAUCUUUAUACAAUUGUUGAAAAAGUAGAAAGCAAUAGAAAACAUCCUUUUAAGAAUUGAAAAUAUUUUUUAUUAGAUAUUCUAUGACUUAUGAAAAUGUUAAGUUGUUCAUCAUAGAUUUAGAAGCACAAACUUAAAUACCUCAAAUAUAUAAGGGAACAAGUUUUAGCUAUGCCUCUAGCAAAAUUUGUUUGAUUUAUAUAUUGUGUUCUGUAAAUUUGAUAAUAUGGAGGCUAAAUUUUGUAAUGUUUAGAGUUACCAUGGAUUUUUGAACUCAGUUUUUAUAACUUCAUCUCCGACUUUUGCACUCGUAGAUAAAUGGUUAUUAGUAGAUAUACAGAUGAACUUAAAAGAAGAGGCAUAAAAGAGUUAGUGUUGUCAAUAGUUAGUGUUCUCCCAAGCCUGUAAGGAUAGAUUAAUUUUGCAACAUUGUUUGGGUGGAUGGAGAAGGGUUUACAAACUUUGAAUAUCAGAAGUUGUCAUCAAAAGAAGAUGAAUGUGAAGCAAAAUGAGCAACGAAGUUAGAAGUAAUGCUUGGAGGGGGAAUUUAAAAGUAAAUAAUUUAAAGCAUGUGGAUACACUAAAAUCUAUGAGUUGAAAUUUGCUCUUUAGUUGUAGCAUGAUGAAGGGGUUUUUGUGGUGAUUUUGACCCAAGGGUAUGGGACAAACGAGAUGUUAAGAAAAUCUAGUAUGAUACAAUUUUUUCCUUCAUGGGAAGUAGCUAUUAGGGUAAUAUAAACCCUUAAAUCUGAGUCAGUAUUCAAACUGCUUGUUUGAACUUCAUGAAUUCUUCUUUGUUGAUAUUAUGCCAAUAUAUGCUAACUCGAUCUCUUUCUUGCUAACCCAAUCUCUUUCUUGUUAACCCAAUCUCCUUCUUGUUAACCCAAUCUCCUUUGCAUAACUUCCAUCUUUCCCUCAUCUUUAAUUAGUAUUGAACUUUGGAAACACUUUGAAGCUCUUCUCCAUCAUACUGGGCCCUUCUCAAGUAGGGGUAAUGUAGAUGGACCGAGAGAGUAGUAAUCCUUCAAUGUCUCAAAUAAGCUAUUCUGCACCUUGGGACUGCGAAUCAUAAACUGUCAUGCCAUCUUGGUCACUAGAUGCAUCAUCACUUGAGCUGCCGAUAUCUCUACCUUGGCUGGAUGAUCUGGUCUUUGAAUUUGAGUGAACAGACUUCUUAUCUCUCUCUAAUGGAUGUGCCUUUUCUUUUCUUGUUGGCCUGAGUAGUUGCCUUCUUUACUUGGAUGUCCCUGGAUGCUUGGCUCGGUUGGGAUGAUCGAUUGAGCCCUCCACCUUGACUAGACCAGGUAUUGUGAUGUUAGCAACUCUCGAUCAAAUCGUUUGGAGGGUGUUUCCGACAUGGAGCCACGUUAUGAUCAAUCGUCCUCGCUCGAUCUCGUUGAUCUGUUGGAAGUGAUCAAUGCAUGAUCUUGCCCAAACUUAUAUAAAUUGACAUCAAAUUUUCAUAAAGAGUAGCAUGCAUACCUUUAAUCAUGUUGCUAAUUUAUAUAACUUUUUGACAACUAUUUUUUUUAAUUUAUAAUCUAAAAAUAUAUUUUUUAGUUUAAAAUAUUAUAGAGUCGAUGAAAAAUUAUUUGGUGGUAUUGUGUAAAUCGUCCAUAGAUCUAUAAUAUAUCAUGAAAUUAUGCUAAAAUAAAAAAAUUGGCAUGACCUCUAUUUACACCAUAUCCAUACUAAUAUUUAUGAUAUGAAGAUCGAUCAAUAAUAGGAUGAAAAAAAGGCCAUCUAGUAUAGAUAAGAUAAUAAUAGAUCUUCAAAAGAGACAUCUUUUGUAGUCCGAGUAAGAAGUUCUAGAAGGUUGUCAGCCUUUGAUCAAAUACCAAGGUACAAAUCGAGAACAUAAUUAGUAGGUUGGAUUAUUUGGCCAGUAGGCCGAAAUACAUGGCUAGUAGGCCGAAAUACAUGGCUGGUAUGCCCAGUUAUACUUGGUCAGCAAGUCGAAGUACUUGGAUAAUAGGAUGAAAUACAUAGUUACUAGACCUAUGACUACUAAAAGAUGCCAACCUAGACCAAGUGUUAAAAAAGUCGGUCGAAAUACCAAAAUGUAGGCUAGUAUACCAAGGUUGCAAGUCGAUACGCCAAGGAUGGAGGAUGAUAUGCCAAGAGUGUAGGUCGGUAUGGCAAGGGUGUAGGCUGAUAUGCUAAGGAUGCAAUCUGUACACCAAGGGUGCAGUCUGGUACAUUAAGAAUGUAGGCCAAUAUACCUAUGGACCUAGGUGCAGGCUGAUACGCGAAGGGUGCAGGCCGACACACCAAGGAUGCAUGUUGAUAUUCCAAGGGUGCUGCCCGAUACUUCAAGGGUGCUGCCCGAUACUCCAAGGGUGCUGCCCGAUAUGCCAAGGGUGCAAACGGAUACGCAAAGGUUGUAGGCCGAUAUGCAAAUGUUGCAGGCCGAUACACCAAGGAUGCAGGACUGAUGGAGACAUCGGAGCUGAUCAUCCACCCGUCUAGUCCACCAUCUUAUUUGCAUUUUUAUUUUAUUUUAUUUUUGGGCUUGUUUGCAUUUUAUUGUUGUAGGGCUUUAUUUGUAUUAUUUUUGGCUUUAUUGGGAAUUAUUUUUGUGUAAGGGGUUUUAUGUUAAUUGUUAUUAUUUGGGCCCUAUAUAUAGGGGACUCUCUUCAUGAUUAGGGUUUAAUGAAGUGAUAAGAAUUUCUUUCCCACGUCUUCCCUCUUCUCUCUUUUCCCCCCUCCUUCUCUUUCCCCCCUUCUUUCCUUCUUCUCCUUCUUCCUCCCUUCCUCUCUUCUUCUUCUCCUUUCUUCCUUCCCCUCUCCUAUUUUCUCUGAUCUAUCACCACAGCAUCCUUUUCGUCUCGGUGCUACAUCAACUUGGUAUCAGAGCUUCAGCUUUGCCCCCGCUGCCAAAGCCACGAUCCAGUUCUUUUCUUUCCUCUCUCUCGGUCUUCAUGCAAAGGAAUAGAGAGGAAAACCCCUCAUCUGUUGUCUAGAGGAGAAAGGCCCUUCAUCGGUUUUCCCAUUCCCGUCGCUGCACCCGCACCCACUGCCGCUUCCGCCCUACAGCGCCUGUCUGGAGCCGCACGAGAAGGGAAGAAGGGAAGAACCCCUGUUCCGCCGUCCCGUGUCUCCAUCCACUCCCGAGCGCCCCGUCAUCCCUCGUUGGCCGCCCCCUUUCCACCACGCUCUGCAACCAGCACCGCCGUCGUGCACCCUCGACCUUCGAGCACCUCUUCUGAGGACCUCCUCCACCGCAUCCCGCUGCCGCUUCCCCUCUCUCUCACGAACCCAGAAAGGUUCGGCUAAUCGGCUCCCAUACGACGACUCCCUCCGCCGCACGCCGCACCGCUGUCGACUGCACCCAAGCCGUUGCCGCAACCCCCAAAAGCUCCACCGUGCCUGAUAUUCAGAGAUAUCACUGCCCCGCGGGUACCCGUAACCGGCCGCCGCCCGUCGCUGCGAGCCCCGGAGUCGCCACCGCGAUCUCCACCCCGCCUCGCAGCCACCGCCACGAAAUCUAGCGCAUUGCCAACGAAUCUGUCAAAGAUUGAAGACGACCAGCUUAACGGGUAAGAUCCAAACCCGUUAACCCGCCAUCCGUUAGACAGGAUUUGUUCCGGGAAAAAAAACAGUGCACGUGAGUUGCACGUGCGGGUUGUACGAGUAUCGGAGCGGGUUGCGCCCGAAAAUCCGAACCCGAUAACCCGAACCUGUAAAGGGUCAAAAAAAAAGAAGAAAAACAAGAAAAAAAAGAAAAAAAGGAAAAAAAAGGGAAGUACUUGUUUGUCUCCCUCCCCGCGACUGCCCUGCUCCUCCGCCGCCUCUGCCGUGCCGCCGAGCUCCCUCCGCAUCGCGCCGUCUCCGCUUUGCCACCGCUGCCGCCGCCGUGCUUCACCUCCUUCGGCCGUCUCCUUCCCACGGUCGACUGCAGACGACCGGAGCCAACUGCCGCUGAGCCCCGAUGAGCUCCACCGCCGAGCCCCGAUGAGCUCCACCGCCAAGCCGCGCCGCCUCCAUCCUGCGCUGCGUUGCCGAGAAUCGCCACCUCGGCCUCCCCUACCGCCGCUGCUUCCCAGUUGCCACACCGAGCCACUGCCGAUCGGUUCCUUGCUGCCGCCAAGUACCCCUUCACCGCUCCUAUCUCCACCCGCACACCGCCAGCUAGACCCGAGGGGACCACCGCCUCUCUUCUCCGAGCCGUUGCCGCCAUCCUCCGCUUACCCCCCCUCCUUUGGUGGUGGUGUUUUGUCAAAUUUUCACUAGCGGUGCCAUGAGGUGGCAUGGGUUGGUGCCCGGGGCCGUGCUAGCCAAGGUAAAAGGGCAUGGGUAGGAGGCAUGCCUUGGCAAGGCACCAUUGUGGGCAUGGUGUUUAGACCAUGUCGGUGGCGAGAAGGUUUGCUGCUGGAGCAUGGCUUGAGGAUUACACAAGCCAUGUGUGACACUUAUUGGUCUAGUCAUUCGAUGGUCCAUAUGUGGUGAUGACUUUGGUAAGUUAGCUGCAAGGUGCGGCAUAGACACGGACAGGAACAGAUGCGGCUUGGACGAGAGGCAUUGUCAUUGGGCUGGGGCGUCGGUGCAUGGCAUGCAUUGGAGGGGCAUGUGUGUGCAGAUAUGGCUUGGGGCGCACAUACCAGGCACAAAUAGGUGUACAAACUAGGUAUGCACGCGUUGAUGCAACAAGCGUGCGUAGAUGCAAAAAAUACGGAAGCUAGGUGCGAUGGUAAUGAGGAAAUGCUUGGUGGCAGACAAGAUGAUGGAAGAACUCAAAAAAGUUGCCAGUGACCGAUUCUGUCAUUGAUGCGAAGCUUGGCCUGGUUGGAAAGAGAUUCUAUAAAGAAUAUGUACACCGAGAAUAGAUAUCUAUGUUAGCUAGCAGGGGUGGGACUUCACUCUCUCUCCGGACAAUCUCACUUUUUUUAGGAAAUAUGGAUCCUUAAAAGGACUUUAUUCUAUAAUUGGAUGAAGGACUGGUUAAGGUAUGCCCAUUGGUACCACGCGGUCGUCCUAGACAGACCUAGAACUUCAGGAUCUGGGAUGGAGAAAGAACUCCCCGUUAGAUUGGUGCGCUCUCUCCAAUUAGGAGAGGCUGAGAAGAAAUCAUAUUAGAUGCUAUUCUCGUCCCAUCAAUCGGAGAGGGCAAUUGCCUUAGAUGAGCUUUGUAUUUCUUUAUAUUUUUAUAUUUUUAUCAUAGCAUUUCGUGACUUAUUGGUAAAUCUACUUUGAUUCUCUAUCAAUCAAUAAUGUGAGACCAUUAACAUGGUUAAAGCUAAACUGUUUGAGUGUAGAUGAAGCAUGCCAUGUCUUUCCAAUCAGUUAAGGUGAUUAUUAUUGCUUCAACCCACUUGGUGAAGUUGUCUGUAGUGGUGAUGACAAAAUGGUGACCAUGACUAGAGGAAGAAUUGGAUGGUCGAAAGGGGGUGUGAGAGAAAGAUGUUGAAGAGACAUGAAUGAAAUUUCGGGAGUACCCAACGCUCAAAAGAGCAAAGCUUAUUUUCCUUCCAGGGUAAAGCAACACAUAGAAAAGGGCUUGCGCAUCAAAAGUCCAGUUCCUUCGCGAACAAAGUUCAGAAUCAAGGGUUCGUAGAAUGGAGUGUACAAUUGGGGAGCAGCCUCACUUUUUUGUAGGAGAGAUAAAAAUGUUGUUCUUCAUGAAGUUCGAGACAAAGGAAAAAAGAAAAGUUUCUUUAUAGUCUCUUCGUUUUGAGACAUUAUGGCUUUGGGUCUACCUCGGUAACAAAGAAGGAAUCCAUUAAAAAAUGGGAUCUGACACCAUGAUAAAAUACUACCCUGAUGAUUAGACCGUGCCCUGAAAUUUGAUAAAAGAAAGGUGCAUUAGCGGUUAAUACAUUGUAAUUGGAUAAUUUAGUAGGAAUAUGAUGGAACGAAAGACCAAGGAAAGGAAUGAGAAUGCAAUAAAAUGUAGGUGCUGCACCCAAUACUGGUGGUUCUUUCAGUAAAGUUGACUGUCUUCCAUGCGUAGCUGUGCGCAGCCGAUGCGUUCUAUUAUUGCUGCAUUAAAGCGUUGGGGAAGAAGUCUCGUUAGUCCAGCAUUUUUGGAUGUGAAUCAUCCCUAUCGAAAUUCCAGUUUCAAAAUUCCGGCUUUCCUUUGCCAAUCAAGCGGGGGACGUACUACUGAUUGAUUCCAGGUCAAUUUGACCAGGGAAUACUUAUAAUAUAAUAGAGCGGAAAGCAAGCAAAAUAAAUUCCAAUGACUCGAGAUCUGGAUAGUGCAUUAAGCCAAGUAGUAGAAAUAGGACCUAAAGCAACGAUGCUUGUUUGCCGACUCCUCUAUUUAUAGAUUUUUAUUCUAUGAUGGAUGGAAUAAGUAGCACCGACAUUCUUUAAACCAAAGGCAUCACUGUAUAAUAUAAGUUACUUUUUGGAGUUAUGAAGGUAGUCUUUUCCGCAUCCAUUGGAUAGCUUGACAGAGGAACACAGAAAUGUGUACCUACAUGUAUAUCUAUUCCUACUUGGUUGCUCCUGCAAUAAUAAAGAGAGGGGGGUGUAUCAUUCUACGAGACAAAUUGAUUAGCCAUUUCCGUGCAGUCUCAUGUUCAAGAAAGACAUUGAUUGGAGUAGAGUGCAUCCAAUCCAAUGAAAAAAAAAAUCUCGUGCAAGCACAAUAAUUGAAAUUGAAUUUAGUGAUUGAUAUGGAGUCGAGCUAAAGUCGAGCAGAGUGGACCUGAAACACCCACCAUCUUCUAAUUCAGAACUUAAUUUGAAAGCCAUAUUUCGACCCAAAUGUUUUCGGGAUGCCCCUAAUAACCAACGAAUGGCAAAUGCUUUUCCUUAUGUAAAUCCUAUUAUCUUGAUUUGGUUGUAGCUGCUAUAUGCAUCCAUGAAUGAGAACAUCUCAUGUCCAGUUGUUGUGUCUAUGAGCAAUCCAUGUUUGGCAAAGGGAAGUCAUCUUUCAGACAAGCUUUAUUUAGGUCUAAAAAAUCAACACAGCAACAGAUUUGCCUAUUCUUCUUGACAGGGACUGUUGUCAAUAGAACAAAGUGGGGACUUCUAUCAAAUAAGAUAGAUGCUUCCACUAAAUAGAAACAACUUUCUAAUUAGUCUAAUGUUCAGAACCUCCUGCAUUCGAUCUCCUCUCUUUUCGAGAUGUUUGAACGAUCGGAGGCAAAGCACAUGAUCAGAACUACGACUUCAGCUACUUGAUCAAAGUAUGGAAGCUAGAAUCGUGCCUAGUGUAUCCUAGCUAUAUAUCUAGUUUUGGCCAUAUGGAUAUAAAGAAAAAAGCCUACACAAGAGUUUGGGUUCACUUUGGCCCUUGUGGAAGGACCUACGACGAAUAGACUCAUUUGGAGGACUAAAACAAACUUCAUCUUUUGGUCAAAAUGACAUCCUCCCGGUGAUGAUUGAGAGUUGCUUAGAUGAGGCCACCAUGCUAUCCGAUCGAUUUAGUCAAGAGAGCGACAUCCAUCCUCCCAUAAUAGCCAAGUAGAGAGGGACAUAAAGGAAAAGCAGGUAACUGCUCAGCGCAGCAAAAAAGAAAAAGAGAAGGCAAUUACAACCUCGAUGGAGAGCAUUGAGGAGUCUGUUCACUCAGAUUUAGAGACUAGAAAGAGUAGCGAUGACAGUUCAAGUGAUUAUAGAUUUGGUGGCCAGAGAGGGAGUGGAGGACACUAGAUCAAUAUUUAUGUGACAACCGUAGGAUGGUCUUCGAUUCAUGGGUGAGUUCCCAUUUAUGUAUGCCACACAGGAUAAAGGCUACGAUGCAUGAGUAGGCAGAGCCUGAGGAUACGAUUACAUAUAAGAGACGAACUUCUUGAGGUCAUUCAGGAAGAUACAUGCGGAACAUGACCUCGCAUGUGGAGUAGGAUCCAUAUAUGUAUUAGGUUUCGAGUCAUAUAUUGUUUCUUAUAAUCCACAGCUAUAGAUAGCUUAUGACUCAAACAGAUAUGGAUAUGGUGCGUUUGAGACAUCGUCUUUUCGUGACUAUUAUCCUACGCAGCCUAGAGCAUCUUACAUAUAGAAUUUUGCUGCCGGCAUAUUCGGAUAGGCUCCUCCAUAGCCAUAUUAUCAGCUAGAGGAUACCUCUCAGAGGCAAAGUUUCAGUAAGAGAUCUGAGACUGGAUAUAACUCGGAGUGCAUUUCUUAUGAUUUGAGCGUACAUGAUACAAUAUUGGUUGGUUAGAGGAGUGGGUUGAUGCGCCUUUUGAUUAUGUUAAUGAUUUGGAUAUCUACGAGAGACAUCGCCACUUGAUAAGAUUCUAGAUAUUGGUAUAUAUCAAGGUAUGCUGAACCGGUAUCGAGACCCAUAUUGGUCUCAAGUUUAAUUAAUUAUAAUCAAUUUUUUUCAACUUUUUUAGUGAUUUUAAGUAUAAUUUGAUAUUUUUUUGAUAUUUUUUGAUGUUUUUAUGAUUCCAGUUUAACCUAAAUGAUGCAUUUUGUUGUUUUAAAGUUAUAUAAAACAUAAAAUGAUUAGUGAGAUGUAUUCUACAAGAAGCAACAUAAAAUAUCUUAAAAUCAACUAGUGAGAUAAAAAUAUAGCAUAAUACAAUCAAUUAUAUAUAUUUACAGUACAAUAUACAUACCGAUAUCUAAAAUUUCGUCGAGUAGCGAUGCCUCAUAGAUAUUUUGAUCAUUGACAUAGUCUGGAGGCAUAUCAACCUACUCCUCUAACCAAGCAAUAUUGUAGUCUUGUUUGUUCAUCCCAUAAGGAACGUGCUCUGGGUUAUAAGUACUCUUGAAUCUCUUGCUGAAGCUUUGGUUCUGAGAGGUAUCCUCUAUUUCAUAAUACAGCUGUGAAGGGGUUCAUCCAAAUAAGCCGACAAUAAAAUUCGAUCCAUAAGAUGCUCCGACGGUAUAAGAUAGUGGCCACUGGAAGACGAUGCCUUAGACACACCAUAUUCAUAUCCGUAUCUGUAUGGUCAUAGGCUGCAUGUGGCUGCGGAUAAUAGGAUCCAGUGUACGACUCAGAAUUUGAUAUGUCUAUGGAUUCUACUCCACAUGCGAGUUCAUCUGCAGCUGCUUUGUGCCCUCCUGAAUGACCUCGAGGAGCUCGUCUUCUUUAUGCAAUCGUAUUAUUGCGGGCUCUACUAGAUCGUGUACCGUGUUCCCUAUCCUGUAUAGCAUAUGUAAACUAGGACUCACUGAUGAGUCGAAGACUACCCUGCGACUGUCUCAUAAACAGUAGUCUCAUAUCCUCCAUUUUCUCUCUGGCCAGUAGAUCCAUGACCAUCAGAACUGCUGCUUUUGCUCUUUGAAUCUGAAUGAACUAGCUCCUCUACACUUUAUGGGGCUGUAGGUGCAUUUUGUUUUUCUUUUUUAGUGUGCCGAGCAGGUGCAUGCUUACCUUUCGUGCCUCUCUCUGUUUGCUUACUCUUUGUGCCCCUCUUUGCCUGCUUACUUUUCAUGCCCCUCUCUACUUGGCUAUGUUACGAGGAUGGAUGUUUUUAUCCGGACUGAGUCGACCGGAAAGCGAAGUGCCUCGUUUUUAACAUUCUUGAUCAUAUCUCUAAGAGAAUGUCUUGGACAAGGAGUCAUGUGAUGAGCACCUUAGUGACCCCUGUGGCCGUGGCUGAUCAGUUAGAAGGUUGCGUGGAAUAUUGCGAUCUGCCUAUUGCCCUGUAUCAAUCCUAGUCUCGCUGGCUAUGAAACUGGCUUGUCGUGGAAGUGAUCCUCGCUUAUCAAGUUUCGGCUAUUGUUGCUGGCCCACAAGCCAUCCGAUCAUAGGAUUAUCCUCAUCGUCAACAAAAGCACUAUGGAUCGAAUCUGUGUACUUUAGCUUAGAUAUAACUCAUAUGAAAGAAUUAGAAUGUAUGGAAUGUAAUUAAUUGAUUAAUAGAUAUCUAAAGUAAUUUUGCUUAGAUGAUAUGUAUGGAUGGACGGUCAAUCCCGAGGCUUUGAAAUAUUCUUAUACCUGAAGAAUAAUGGAUGAUUGAAUUACUGGUUGGGUUGUUUUCUUAUAUUUGUAUAUAAUACAAGAAUGGAACAUCAAAGACACAGAAGCUAAUAAUGCUGAAAGAUUUAAUUUCAAUACUAAAACUUGGGUGAGAAAUUUUGCUAACUUAUUGUACUUAUCAAUUCAUUUUAUAUCUGAAAUCUUGUUUCUAACGUUUAUAAGGCUUGCAACUUUGCCAAAUCAUAUAUUAGUUCAUUAGGAGACUAAGUUUUCUUUGUCCUCUACUAAAAAUAAGGUAAUGUCAUCAUAGACUGGACAUUGUCAGGGAUAAAAUUCAUAAACUAAGUGAUAACAUAAGUUAAUCCAUUGUAAUUAUUUCAUCUUCUUUUUAUAAUAGAAUAAUUAGAGAGAAAAAAUGAAUAGGUUUCUCAUCAACUUUUCUUGCAGCCUCUGCUUUAGUGAAUCUUUGAUCUGCCAUUUUUUAGGUAAAGGUAGUAGCAAGAUAGUGACGAGUGAUAAGGCUAUGUGUCCAUGAGGUUUCUUUAAUAUCUGCUUCAUCUUGAUAAUCCUUCAUAUCAGCGAAUUGAUUGGCUUCAAUACUUAUCUUGUUUUGAUUUGUUCAGGCAAGUUGUGGUAACUUGAAAAAAAUAAUACUGAUGAUUACAAGGUGAAAUUGAUGAUGAUAAGAGGUGAAAGAAAAUAUUUUUUGCCCGUGGUGAUGAAAUGAAGGUUGGUGCUGAUGGAGCUUUAGUUAUUUACUGAUCGUGCAUGUCUUCUAUGGAAUUAGUGAACUGUUGGUGCUAUCUUUUGUAGGGUUCAUUUGCUCUAUGACUGAAAAUAUCUUAUAAGUCAUGGUUAAAUUUUGGCAUCAAGAAUGAUAAGAAAUUGAGUCCAAAAAAUGUAGAGUUGUAUCGUAGUCCCGCAUCCUAUGCCUGAACUUACUUCCAAUUUUUUCAUUUUAACCAUUGUCACGCAAUAUAUUUAUGGUGCGUGAUUUGAACCGGACCUCUCCAGUUUAGCUACAAGUUUGAGAAGAUCUAAACUCUUCAUAUCUAGAUAUCAGCUAGUUUACUCUUGCUUUACCCCAUUAUUUGAAAUAGUCUUUUCGUUGCUUAUUCAUGAGUUUAUUGUUAUAAUUCCAGUUUUUGAAGCAGUCAGUGCAUUGUAACUACGAGAAGGUUUUCACUUGUUCUUUGUACAAAGUAACAUCUUUCUCUUCAUAUAUUUCAUUUUGCUCUAUAUUAUACAAAAUUAAACCACAUUCUGUUAAGUGAUAUUUAUUACCUAAUAAUCUUUGUUAUGGGCAUUCCUCAUAUUUUGCAUCGCAUGCAUGGCACAUGCUUGAACUAGUACAAAGAAAAUGCUGUAAGUUGGGCAGGUGAAGACACAGCCCCCCAAAGUCUAAUUGCGAUAUUUAAUAGAAAGAGCUGUCUCUUUUUUCUCUAUUUUGCUGGGGCAGGGUAGGGACCACAUGAAGGAUCAUCCUAUUUUUGGGGACUUGCAUUCUGAGAGCAUGGCCUAUGUCAAGGGAGAGACUAAAUCCCCCUUUCUCCUCUUUUCUUCCUCUCUUUCUUUUAUGGAAAGACAUGUGCAUAGCAUGUGUCAGAUGCUACUAUGAGCCAUUUCAAGCUAAUACUGGUUAGUCCUUCAAACUUUAAAAGCUUCAUCAUCAAGCAUAUUUGGGUCUGCUACAUUCUGAAGAACUAAAGUGGGAUUUUCUUCUAACUAAAGUCUAGUUUACUUGUUAAAGUUUUGUCGAAUGUACAGUUGGGCCCUAUUGUCUUGAAACCUUGGUUUCUUGUCCCUGGCCUGAGUAUUCUGUCAUAGACAUAUGCAAAUACACUGAGUUGGGUACUUAAUAAAGAAUUUUACUUGAUUGCUGUGGUUUCUAUCAGUGUAUGGAGCUGAGUUAGAUGUCAUGUCUGAUAUUUGUCUGUGCUUGCAAAUUUUAUAUUUCUAUGCCUGGGUCAGAAACCUUUUUGCAGAUUGCAUAAAAAUGAGUAUCUGUAAACCAGAUCUAUGCAUUUUGUGGCUUGAUAUGGUUAGAUAUUUACAAGCCUAAUCAAUAUGUAUAGCCAUGAUGAAUUCAUACUUACGUUUUCCUAGUUUGUUUUAGUUAUUGCAUUAAUUAUUUUCUUGUGUGAACUUACAUGUUUUACUUGUGCAACUUGCAGUUUACUGAUGAAAAUGGACAAAGGCAACAUGUAUGGCAGACUUCAUGGGCUGUUAGCACCAGAUUCAUUGGCGGUAUUAUCAUGACUCAUGGAGAUGAUGCUGGCCUAAUGCUUCCUCCCAGAAUAGCACCAAUACAAGUAUGUUUUCCCUUAAGGGUUUGGGGAUAAAGUUGUCUAUAUUCGUAUCAGUAUUCUUUUGUAUUUCUUCUGACAAGUACUUAGACAAAUUCAUGAUAAGUUUAUAUGCCUAUAAGCUAAAACAUAUCAAGCUAACAUGUUCUUUGAUUUCACUCUAUAUCGUACUCAUAUAGCAUUUUUUCUUUUUUGUCUGGAUUGGAAAUGCUAAGCUAAUAAAGGAAUAUUCCAACAAUGGACGGGUAUCAGAGAGGCUAAUAAGUAUCUGGUGGGAUCUAGCAAUUAGCCAAGAUUAUAAUGGUCCAGUAAGCGCUGGUAACUAGGUAACCCAAGUUCUAGCAGGUCACCAGACAAUUAUAUUUGUGAAGUUUUAAGUGCAUUACUGUGGGUAAUCUUGGAACGAAGUAUGAGACAAAAUGAACUUUUAACAUGACCGAGAUACGUAUAUUAAUGCACCAACAUAUGAUGGUCACAGGACCAAAGAAUCAUAGCUGUGAGUCAAUUAGAUUGUUUGCAAAACUAAUACACGGUUCCAUUGAUUAUAUUGUGGUUUUAACAUUGAAUUCACAUUAAUACCUUGUUGGUGGAAGAAUGGGAAUUUCUAAUAACUCUUUUGUUGGAUGAUGAAUGAUGAUUAGCUUUGUUUGCAUGGGGAAAGAGUUUUCCAUUUAAAAUUCAUGAACAUUUAACUUGUGUACUUAUGGAUAGUGCCCAAUAAAGUAAACAGCAUUUUUUUUACUUUUAAAUUUCAAGAAGGUAAUUGAUUAAAGUUCAAAAAAUAUAAUAAAAUUCUGCAGUCAUUAAUUCCAUUUAGGUGUUUCAUUAAGUUUUGGAUCAGAAAGGAUCCCUUUGUUUCUUAUAGAUUGGGUACAAAAGUCUAAACAUCAUAAUUGGGUCUUAACGAAAAAUCUUUUUGGCAGCAUUAUGUAGAUGAUCCAUAGAUUUACAUCACAUCGUGGAAUCGUGCCAAAAAUAAAAUAUUUUGGCCUGAUUUCCCUUAUUUUCUCAUUUUUUUGAUGAUUUUCGACCUUAAAAUGGAUAAAAAGGAGAAAGAGAGGGAGAGGACCAUUACUUGUUUUUACAUUGGAUCUGGCUUAGAUCCGGUGCAAUUUAGCUGCUACAGUGAUUUUUCACAAUUUUUUAGAGAAAGGGUGUGGGAGGGGCUGAGAAGACAAGGGAGAUCUUCUUAGCCUCCCACCUAUUUUAUUCACCAGGGGAGGCCAUUUUUGGGUGAAACCGGGUUGAACCAUGGCUUGUAUCUUGGUUUGCCUCAGUACUGCUUUGAACCGUCUAGUUCAUGUCGAUACUACUCUGUAUUGUUUUGUCCUUGUUUCUAACUUCCCCAUUUGUAUGGUUCGAUACGCCUCAAACCAGAUGGUUGUGUCGUGUCAAGUGUCGAACACUUCUUGCUAACAUUAGUAGGACACUUAAAAGUGGAGUGUCCAGCUGUGUCGUGUCGUGUUCAAAAGUCCAUAAGUGUAGACAUAUUGAGACAAUUUAAAAAUGAAGUGCCCAAGUAACAUAGGUUUGAAGGUUAGAAUUUGCUGGCUUAGAUGGUACAGAGAAGAUGAACUCCCGACCCUUUUCCCAGAGAAAGGUAGAGCUAGAAAAGGAGAAAAAGGGAAGGAAAAAGGGGGGAGGGGCGGGGUUUGGGGGGCUGGAGUAAAUUGGUCUAUGAUGAUUAUGUCUCCGCAAGGACUCAAGUUAAAAUACAUAUUGUACUUUGUUUUGGUGAAUGGAUGCAUUUGAUUUGAUUCAUGAAUGGUGGAAACUGGCAAUGAUUGGCCACUUUCAAAAAGAGAAAUAUGAGGCACGAAAUAUAACAAUGUGACAAAAGAAUUAGAUCACAUAAUCCAAAUUAAGGAUUUGCUGGGUCCCUUAGGGACUAUUGUCCCUAAAAUAGCGAAUUUUUUUCNNNNNNNNNNNNNNNNNNNNNNNNNNNNNNNNNNNNNNNNNNNNNNNNNNNNNNNNNNNNNNNNNNNNNNNNNNNNNNNNNNNNNNNNNNNNNNNNNNNNNNNNNNNNNNNNNNNNNNNNNNNNNNNNNNNNNNNNNNNNNNNNNNNNNNNNNNNNNNNNNNNNNNNNNNNNNNNNNNNNNNNNNNNNNNNNNNNNNNNNNNNNNNNNNNNNNNNNNNNNNNNNNNNNNNNNNNNNNNNNNNNNNNNNNNNNNNNNNNNNNNNNNNNNNNNNNNNNNNNNNNNNNNNNNNNNNNNNNNNNNNNNNNNNNNNNNNNNNNNNNNNNNNNNNNNNNNNNNNNNNNNNNNNNNNNNNNNNNNNNNNNNNNNNNNNNNNNNNNNNNNNNNNNNNNNNNNNNNNNNNNNNNNNNNNNNNNNNNNNNNNNNNNNNNNNNNNNNNNNNNNNNNNNNNNNNNNNNNNNNNNNNNNNNNNNNNNNNNNNNNNNNNNNNNNNNNNNNNNNNNNNNNNNNNNNNNNNNNNNNNNNNNNNNNNNNNNNNNNNNNNNNNNNNNNNNNNNNNNNNNNNNNNNNNNNNNNNNNNNNNNNNNNNNNNNNNNNNNNNNNNNNNNNNNNNNNNNNNNNNNNNNNNNNNNNNNNNNNNNNNNNNNNNNNNNNNNNNNNNNNNNNNNNNNNNNNNNNNNNNNNNNNNNNNNNNNNNNNNNNNNNNNNNNNNNNNNNNNNNNNNNNNNNNNNNNNNNNNNNNNNNNNNNNNNNNNNNNNNNNNNNNNNNNNNNNNNNNNNNNNNNNNNNNNNNNNNNNNNNNNNNNNNNNNNNNNNNNNNNNNNNNNNNNNNNNNNNNNNNNNNNNNNNNNNNNNNNNNNNNNNNNNNNNNNNNNNNNNNNNNNNNNNNNNNNNNNNNNNNNNNNNNNNNNNNNNNNNNNNNNNNNNNNNNNNNNNNNNNNNNNNNNNNNNNNNNNNNNNNNNNNNNNNNNNNNNNNNNNNNNNNNNNNNNNNNNNNNNNNNNNNNNNNNNNNNNNNNNNNNNNNNNNNNNNNNNNNNNNNNNNNNNNNNNNNNNNNNNNNNNNNNNNNNNNNNNNNNNNNNNNNNNNNNNNNNNNNNNNNNNNNNNNNNNNNNNNNNNNNNNNNNNNNNNNNNNNNNNNNNNNNNNNNNNNNNNNNNNNNNNNNNNNNNNNNNNNNNNNNNNNNNNNNNNNNNNNNNNNNNNNNNNNNNNNNNNNNNNNNNNNNNNNNNNNNNNNNNNNNNNNNNNNNNNNNNNNNNNNNNNNNNNNNNNNNNNNNNNNNNNNNNNNNNNNNNNNNNNNNNNNNNNNNNNNNNNNNNNNNNNNNNNNNNNNNNNNNNNNNNNNNNNNNNNNNNNNNNNNNNNNNNNNNNNNNNNNNNNNNNNNNNNNNNNNNNNNNNNNNNNNNNNNNNNNNNNNNNNNNNNNNNNNNNNNNNNNNNNNNNNNNNNNNNNNNNNNNNNNNNNNNNNNNNNNNNNNNNNNNNNNNNNNNNNNNNNNNNNNNNNNNNNNNNNNNNNNNNNNNNNNNNNNNNNNNNNNNNNNNNNNNNNNNNNNNNNNNNNNNNNNNNNNNNNNNNNNNNNNNNNNNNNNNNNNNNNNNNNNNNNNNNNNNNNNNNNNNNNNNNNNNNUGGAAUCCUAGAAUGGCCUCUUACAUCUCUGCAAAGCGUAAAGGUAUUCAUAUUACAAAUCUCACUAGAACUGAACAUUUAGCAUGUGGAGAUGGAUUACAUCUAAAGAUUGUAGAAGGUAAACAAGUAGAUUUGUUGGCAAUAAGAGCAUAGAAAAGAGGGGAAGCAAACAUAACUCCUUAAUACUUGAGGAGGAGCCCGAGGUUUAUUGAACUGGAGUUUUAAAUAAUAAUACAUAUAUUAUUGUCCUCAUAAACAAAUAUAAAAGAGUACAAAAAUUUAGAGGCUUUUGUUCCCUUUUAGUUUUGGGUGCUUCAAAGUAUCUUGUACUGAUUAUAUUCACCAUUUCACAAGGUCGAAACAUUUUAAUUGAGUGUUUGUGUUUGGAAAUCCUCCGAUUUGAAAUGUUGAGGUGUUCCUAUGACACCAUUUGAUGAACUCAAAAGUUAAAAGGUUAUUAGUAAGGAUAAGGCAGGUUUAGGAAUCCAUAGGGAGACAAAUGGAAUUCCAAUUAGAACAGUUACGAAUUGAUGAUUUGAUGAGAAAGGGCAAAAAUAAGUUUGUUUCUUAAAGAGGAAACUGAGAAAUUUAUUAGUGAUUGCUGUUAAUUUCUUUAAAAAACUUGGAACUCCAUGGAUCCCUCCUAAUUACAGUAGCCAUGGAACUUUCCAAAUCCUAGUGUUGAUGGUUUUAGGGCCUUAUCAUAAAAACCUAAAAUUACAUGACAUUUUUUUUGAAAUCUGAUUGUUGACUUAUAUGUUUCCUUGACAAAACUUAUAAACAACUCUGUAUUAACUAAAGGUUUUAAAUUUAAGGAAAUAAAAACCAACUGUCUCAAAAGAUAUUGACCUACCUGUUUUUGAUUACUUCAUAACUAAAAAAUGGUCCUUUUUCCUGCCUUAUAAGAUGCUGUUAACUACUUUUAUAAGAUCUUUCCUUUAAAACCUAAGACCUGAAGUUGAUUCCAUUUGUUGUUACCAGAAUGGUUACUCUAUUUUUCAUCCCAUCAUCAUAAUUUGUGGAACAAGCCUCAUCUGAAUCAUCGUUGCAAUUCUUCAGCCAAGAUUUUGAUGACAAGUUAUGGACACACAUAUGUGCACAAGGAACAGGAUCUUGUUCCAUGCUAAGAAGGGAUUUCAUGAGAUUGCUCUUGCUUUUCCAAUAUUAAAUAAAAGAUCAAUUAUCACCUCUUGUGACUUCGACCAAAAUGGGUAUGCUGGGACAUGCUAUCAAAUUUUUACUAAUCUCUAAAAAAUAUUCUUUGUUCGGCAUGAACAUAAAAGACUUAUCAUGGUAAAUUUUCUCUUUUCACAUAUGAUACUUAUUUUGUGACAUCGUUAGACCUAAUGGUAUUUGUGGAGACAUGGGUAGUGCUUGAAUGAUAUAUAUCCUGCCUAAGAAAAUAUGGAUGAAUUUGUAAUGUAAUGAGACAGAAGUAUAAAUGCAUAUCAUGCCACUAUAUGCACUGCAUCUAACUUUUCAGAAGGGCCAUCCUUUGUUUCAUAUCAUAUCCCAUUUACAAUUCAUAUUAGUCAAGUUGGUUUAGCAACUAUGCUGAUCUUGACUAAUUCUUGCAUAUGUUUACACGAAUUUGUAUAUCUGUACAUUUAUGCAUUUAGCAUGUGUUAGAAAAUUUAUGUUCAUGUCUGCAUAUAGGAAAUUUUCAAUUAACGUUGUUCAUAUUUUUUUUCAUAUUUUUUUCUUCUGAUAUUUAUGGCCUAGUAGCUGGAAACAUGGAAAUUUCCAAUUAACUUUGUUGGUCAAAAUGGGUGAAAGUGAUGACGGAUUUAGCCUUUCUAGCAUGUUGGUUAGAACUUAAGAAUAUGAACCGCGGUUGACUAUGCUUUGACCUCAAUUUGUUUUGGUAAUCAAAGACCUGAAGUCCCAAUCUACUCUCUGGGAAAAAAAAGCCCUGUUGGCAUUAGCCUGUACAGAUGACUGUAGACCAAACAGGAACUUCUCCAACCUACAAAACUUGGGAGGAAUAUGAGUGGCUUCAUCUGCAAGCCCAUCAGCCACCUGAUUUCCUUCCCUGGAAACAUGGCUAAUUUUUACAGAAAGAAACAGACAGUCCCCCCCCCCACCCCCCCCCCCCCCCCCAAAGAUCAUGCUUUAAUACAUAUAUACUGGCUGAUCUCUCUGUGUUAAUUAUAAGAUACUAAAUUUCUUUCAAAAAAUCUCAUACCACCAGGUGAUAAUAGUGCCCAUUUGGAAGAGAGCAGAUGAGAGAACAAAAGUUUUGAAUGCUGUGGCCUCCCUUGAGAGAGUACUGAAAGCAUCAGGAAUCAAAGUCAAAGUUGAUGACUCAGAGCAGAGGACCCCGGGAUGGAAAUUCAAUUUCUGGGAGAUGAAAGUAAGCACUUUGCUGCCUUGGAUGUUCCGUUCUGAAUGUCAAGUUUCAUCAAAUGCCUAUUUUUAUCAGUAUAUGUGCGUAUGGCGCACAAGCACAUGCACAUGCAAAUGCACGUGCACGUGCAGCACAUGCACGUGCACGUGCAGCACAUGCACGUAGAGAGAGAGAGAGAGAGAGAGAGAGAGAGAGAUUUGACUUUGGAUUUAAUAGUGCAAAAUUGAUGAUAGGCCAUCCAAGUAGAAGCUAAUAUUGUUUACAAUAUGAUGUAUCACAUUUGACAUUUAUAGAGACUAAAAUCAGACAUUUGGGUGCUCUUGUAUUGCAUCAAGGGAAAAAGGGAAAACAUAAAAUUGGUGGUUUCAAAAUUCAAACAAUAUUUUUCUAAGAUUUUGCCUAGAAACAGUUAAACCUAUUGAAAUUUGCCCUUGCAUGUUUUAAGACACAAUCCAGGUUUCAAUUUAUACAACAUUAUACUUUUUCUUUCUUUUCCUUUUUUCUCUUCUUUUUUUUUUUAUGCUCAGGGGUUAGAGCCCACCUAGUUUAUUAGGGUGAAGUUGGAAUUCAAUCCCAGGCUACUAAUAUCCAAUCGCUAGGGACAUUAUUGACAUUUGGAAGUGUCACCCUCUCCAUAUUAUGUAUUUUAACCCACUAGAACUGUUUCCGCCAUCUAUAUAUGUGUCCAUCUAUUCAUAGGUAGGAGACCUCCAUAAUAUGAUUUUCUUUUGAUUUUUCUUUUCAUAAAAUCUCCUCUUAUUGCUAUUUAUAAAUUGACCCAAAGAAAGUCUAUCUAUACUGCAACCAUAACCUUGGGUUUCAAUUCUAUCAAUGAACUCUAAUAGAAUCAUUGCUGUAGGCAUUAAGGGGAACCUUUAUGGUUAAUAUAUUUUUUGACCAAUAUAUCCCCAGAGUCAACCAUUCUCCUCUCGUCGGUGGGAACACCACACCUCUCCCCCUACCCUCAUCCACAACCCAAAUCCCGCCUCUUGCCUCAAUCCCACCCCGUGCCCCAAAUCCCCCUCCGACCACCCUCAUCGCCACCCUCUUAAUCAUGAUAUGCCACCCACCCCCUAUUCUCAAUCUAGUUUUGGAUGAAAACUAAGGGGCUCUAAUGAUGAUGAGGACAACAAGGAGCUAUUGGGGAAGGAGAUGUGCUUGCAGUCAGGGUCAGUGAACAUGAGCUGGUGGAGUUGAGUGAGCACUAACAAGGGCAUGAUGAUUGUCUUGGCCACAUGGAUGUUGUCGUGGUGUAGCUUGAGGACUUUGUGGAAGUGGGCUUUGAUGCAGUGGAUUCAUUUGACAUCCUCUAUUGAAGACUUGAGCUCGUCCUGAGCAAAGAUGAGCAGCGCGAUUUGGUGAUUGUGGCUCUAGACCUUGACCUCAACAAUGUCAAAAUGAAGAUUUGACAAGCAAGGGGAAGACCUAGAAUAGAAGUGCUGCACAAUUGGUGUUGGUGAGCUCGUGGGUGGCGGCGGUGGCGUUGAUGCUGAGAGAAUGCUUGAUGUAGGAGAUGUCGAAGUAUUGGCGUGCUUGCAGCUGAGCGAAUUACUGACAUGGCAUAAGUCCAUGAACCAUUGGCUGUUGGAGAUGUAGCCCUUGAUAGAGAGAUCAUGGUUGGUGAGGAUCUCACCACUUCAAGAAAGAUGUCAUGUUCUUGCAUGUUGUCUACCUUUGCUAUGAUUGGGAGAUAACAUUGUUGAUGAUGACUCUGCAAGCAAGACAAGUCAAGAAGAAGAACUGGGUCCAUCUAUAAGGGAGGAAAGAAGGUUCUGAGUCUAGAAGAAAAUAGGGAGUGGAAGUAAAUGAAAUAGGGGUAGGUGUUUGGAAAAUGAUUGGUAGGAGAAUGAAGACUUGGAAGAAUUCUUCCAAUAAGGUAGUGUUUGGAUACCUACAACUCCCACCUACAUGUAUUUGGGGUUAUGUUAGGGUGGAACUAUAGAUUUAGAGUUACAAAUCCAAUGUUGGGUUUCUAUUACUGCAGUUUCAACAAGUAACUUUCCAUUGUUUGCUUACCUAUAACUGGAAGCUGCAACUGCAAUUCAGCUAACUUUGUUGGUCAUGUAACUGGGACUAUCCCAUCAUCCCUGAAAUGGUGUUGGGAGCUUACCUCCCAACUUGCCACUUGGCUAGAAACUAUCCAAGUGUUAUAACCAUGGUAUGAUACUAUACCAGUUGGUACCGGGCGUAUCGUACCGGUACCGGUAUGCUAGUGUCGGUAUGUCUGGCGAACCACGUACUGUACCGUACUGAUACUUGGUACGCCUAUACUAUUACGGCACCGGUACGGGGUCUGGUAUCGGUACGGUGAACCUUGGAACUUAUAACCAUUGAAUCAAACAACAAAUUUGCAUUCACAUGAAUGUAACACUUUAAUGAAACAAAAUUGCACAUUAUAAAACAAAACUAUUGAAUCAUUCAAGUACCAGUGUACCGUACUCAAACAUAUCUAUACAGAUCAAACAGAAGUUUAAUGUAACAUGGAAAGUCUAUACAGCCAUUUUAGCUGAUUACCCAAUUGCUACCAUUUCACAUUCAGCCUACAACCAUUUCACAAUCAGAGCAAAGUUUUGUAAUUUCAAUACAAUAUUUUACUCGUAUAUAGGAAAAAGAAUUAUAAGAUCUAGCUUGGCUAAGUCACAACCUUAUUGAUACAUUUAUGAAUCAUACAAAUCAACAUCACCGUACGUCCAUAGUCAUAAAUUCAUGCUUUUCUAAUCCUUAUCAUCCAAUUGAUAGGACCUAGGCAUUAUAAGAGGCAAUCUGUUAGCCAUUUGAAGGUGAUGUUCACUAAACAUGAUGAAAGAAGGAAGCUAGAAUUAUAGGAAAUAAUAUGCUCCCAGGUCCAGUUCCUAAGGCGCUAGAUCAAAUCUAGAAGCUAUUAUUGGCAAAACACCAAAAGCCCUCAAGAAGCUGAGUUCUUUGUGUCGCCAAAGAUCAAGAAAAGAUGCAUACAUACAUACAUACAUACAAACGCAGUUUGAAAGCAAUGUUCACAUAUAUAUUACUAUUUUGUACCAAGAAAUAGCGGAUGGGUAACAGUUCCCCUAUCCUUGAAAGCACUUUGAUUCUUUGAACAAGAAGGAAGCUUGGAGUUUUUAGUUGACACCUAGCGGUAUGCUGUCAAAACCAAUAUUUUGGUAGCAGAAAGGAAGAGGAAACCAGUAACAGAUGAAAUAUAUAAACCCAAAAUGGGACAUAGCAGUCAUGGAGCUCAGGUAUAAAUGGAAUUGGAUCAUCAUCAUAGAGCUGAAAAUCAUAAAACCAGAACAAAAAAGCCUUUGGAAAAUCAAAAAAGCGAUUAUCUGGCUACUGGAAGCAAGUAAAAUAGCUCAACAACACAGUCAAUAACUUCAAAAAAAAUACAUAGCUCAACAAUACAAUGAACUACAAAUAGCUCAAGGUCACCUGUAUCAAUCAACAAAUCACAUAUAACUCAACAAUAAGAGUAAUAUGAAAUGGGAUAAUAAUGCUCGUGCCAACCGACCAGUCACAUACCACUCAACAACAAGAAUAAUAGCAAAUAGCUCAGGACUGCAUGUAACAAGAAAAGCAAAUGCAUAUAGCUCAAAACAAAUUAUGGAAGCAAGCAUAGAAGAUAGGAAGUAGCACUAACUUGCCAAGGAAUGGCACAGUUAGAAAUGUCAAAUGGCACAGCUGCAUGUAUGCUACAUAGCGAUAGGGGAAGGUUUUUAUAUAAUAUUGACAAAUUCUGGGUGUGAUAUGCAAACAGACUCUUUUCCCUAAGAACUUAUUAUUGCAGAUUAUGAUCAAUGGAGUUUAUCUUCAGUUUGGAUGGGCUAUUUUGCAAUUUUUAAAGAUUUAAUGAAAACUAAAUGUGUGCAUGUCUUCUUGUUAUUUGUUAAUGGGAUAAGCGAAAGGUGUGGUCUCUCCCAUGACUUCUCAUCCCUAAUGAAGGUAUGACUCGAUCCCAAGUCUCUGGUUUAUGCACUAUACUACACUACUUGCAGAUUAGCUGGAUCAUUGACCCUAUUGUCAUAUAGUUGCAAUAUGUGAAAGCUAGGUUUAUGAGGGGAAGAAAGCAAGAUUCAAUGACUAUACUCUCCUGAAUUGUUGUUUUAUGCCAUCUUAUAAUGUUCAAGUGUUCCUAUUUUCCAGUAUCAUCAAGCAUCCUUGUAAUGACUAUGAUGUGGAAGUGGAAUACUCGGGGUUAGAACUGCUUAUGUGAUCUAGCGAAGGAUUAGAGCUUUGGGAGGAACUUUUGAAGUGUUUUGUUGGGUUAAAAUGGAUGACAAGGCUUCUAGUGAUCUUAAAAAUGAAUGAAGUUGUGCAAAACAAAGUGAUAAUAAAUCCAAAUAUAAUCAGAUUAGAGCUUACUUGUUAACUGGGGGAAAUAGAUAGCAGAAAGAAGGAAUAAUAGAAAGAAAAGUAGAAUGUAGAAGAAGAGAGAAAUUUGAGGAAAGAAUAAGACUAGGGGAGCUGACAACAACCAAACCUUGGCUUUCUUCUUUGUUUAAUGAAAUCAUCUUAAACAUCAUCUCUGAAAGAGAGAAUUAUGGCCUUUAUAUAGAGUCAAAACUCUAACAAUGUAAAAAAAGUUCUUCUUGACCCUUGAAGUAAAAGAAGUUCUGGCCAUGAAUUAAAGCAUAAAACGAGAAACUGUAAAAGACAUAAAAGCUCCUAAAUAAGAUACUGCUACAGUAGUGAGAACAUUUGCUUGCUGCAGUGAUGCUAGUGACUUGGUAAUGAAGACUCUAAACAUUACUGAAACUCUUCCUGUUAACUGAAUACAUCUGCAAACUAGUGAAAAUGGGCCAUUGAUGAAAAGUAGAGCUUCAAUGCAUGCUAGUCUUAUGCCAAGAACUUGGCUCUGAACUAAAAGAAAAUUUCAGCCUCGUCAGUCUUUGCUAGAAUAUUAUGAGAUUCAAGCCAACUUCACUAAAAUUUGUUGAGGCAAACCCAUAACAAAAGAGAUACUAGCUUUUUGUUUCAUGAGUUUCAUGAGAAUGAACUGUUGUUCUGCAGGGUGUCCCUUUAAGGAUAGAAGUUGGACCUCGUGAUGUUGCUAACAGGAGUGUGGUUGUAUCUAGAAGAGACAUCCCGGGAAAGCCUGGUAAGGAUUUUGGGGUAUCCAUGGAGCCUUCAAAAUUAGAAUCUCAUGUGAAGAGCAGGUUGGAGGACAUACAGGCAUCACUUUUACAGAGGGCUAUAUCAUUCCGCGAUAGGUAAAUCUUAAUAUUCUGACGUCCAUUACUUUUAAAAUGUUGACUUGCUUGAAUCGGAAGUUAUAUGCAACUUAUAUGCCAUCAAUAGUAAAGAACAGUAGAAUAGUACGUGUUCAAUUGCAGCAUCUCUAUGAAAUGUAUGCCAUUCAUUCUUUUUUGAUAAAUAAAGUAUUAUACCUAUUAUUUUCCAGAGAUUUGAAAACCCAUUUGAUGUUUAUCUAUUCUGGUGGAACAAUUGUUGACUGAUGGCUGCUGGAAUGAUGAGUACAGUGUGAUACAAGAUGUUGAUCAUAUAUGUAAACUACAUGAUAUUAGGUGCAUAUAUAAAUGAAUGUUGUAUCCAAUCUUCUAGUUCUUUGGAUGUUUAUUCAUAAAACUUAAUAGACAUAUUGUCUGCAAUCCAAGUUUUUUUUUGGUUUUUGUGUGCGCGCACAUAAUGAAGGGUCUUGUGCAUCAAUUACAGCAAUGUGAAGAUCAAUUGAGAACUCUUCGUUCCUGUUUGUUGUUUAUUAAAAAGGCAGCCUGUUUUUUUUUUUUGUGCUGAUUGUGGAAAUAUAUGAGUAUACAGUAACAUUGUGGAUGUGCACUCGUAUGAGGAGCUCAAGGCUGUAAUUGCCCAAGGAAAAUGGGCAAGGGGCCCAUGGUCAGCUGGGUAAGAAACUGAAGUUAUCAAAAUUUUCCUUUCUCCAUACUGAAAUUGGGAAAAAAAAACGAGUCUCGUAAUACUAACAAAGCUAUAAUUCCUGGUAAAUUUUAGUGAUAAGGAGGAGUUGAAGGUGAAAGAAGAGACAGGUGCAACGGUAAGAUGCUUUCCAUUUGAGCAGCCCCAGGGGCGGAAGACAUGCUUCAUGACUGGUAAUCCUGCAGAUGAAGUUGCAAUUUUUGCUAAAUCUUACUAAGUUCUCUGUAUCACUUUUCCAAUCACUAGCUCAAGAGAAUUUUUUCCUCUUAUUUCACCAAUGUAUUCAUGUAACAAUAUUCAUUUACAUCUCAGACUCUUGCUUAUUUAAAUUAUGUAAACUAGAGUCAUCUGAUCAUUUCUGUGUAUUGGUGGUCCUUGUAAAUUUAUGAUUAUAAUGUAUCACUAAAUUAAGAAACUGGCACGUGAGUUUAUGAUCUAAUCAUUUGGUCAUUGUUCUAUCCGGUGUCAUUUUUAGAGAGCUUGAUAGUUCAUGUAGGCUUAUCUGGCUACAGAGGGCAACAUGAUAGUAACAUAUAAUCUAUGAUUAAAUUAUUUACUAAUAUCUAUUGGUGGAUAAUCAGCAAGAUGCAACUAUAAUAAAUGUUUUAAUGAUACAAAUGGGUUGAUAUUAGCAUAGUUUAAGAAAGAUUUAUGGAGGUCCAGUAGAUUUCAUUUAGAAAUCCUUCGUCGAAAGUUAUUUUGUCACUGAAGACAGAAGUUAUGGAUACUCUGGAAGUUAUACUGGAACAAGCUGAAGGAUGAAUUCAAGCCCUUCACUAUUACAAGAUCCUUGACUGGCUCCUUGAUUAUCAGCUAAAGGGGGAAACGAAGUGACAUUUGACUCACAAAUGUUCAAAAGGUCAAUAUUUUAUAAGAAAGGUUAAAUUCACCUAUUAGGUGCAAUCCCAAGCACGUAAGUCUGAAAGAUGACUUCACUUGAAGCAUUAACCAUCUCCACCAUAUCCAAUAUUGAGUAAGGUAUUCAAUGUGGCCUGAAUCAUCUCAAUCGGAGCUUGGACGUAGAUGAUAAGGUUAAAAGAAGAAAAAAUUGCAGCGAUAUUCCUUCAACUUUUGGUGGUUUGUACUGGCAUUUUAAAACUUUUAAUUUUUUUAAUUAAACCUUUGGUAGCAAUGUACCUCAAAGAUCCAUCUCUUUUAGGAUCGGUGAACAUGAGAUUAUCAUGUGGCAUAAUUUCAGAAAUUAUAUUUCAUAAAUGUCCUUCCCUCCUAGAUUAGAAGAGGGAUUAGUAUUUUUGGCAGAAAGGCAUAAGAUCGCAUGGUCAUCACAUGACUUCUCCCUCGAAGUCAAGAUGCUUGUGGCAGCAGGUUGUUGUCCCAUGCAUUCCAAGUUGCAGCUGAUCUUCAGUACCUUCCACUGCGUCCUCCAUGCCGUGCCUGCGGAUGGCCUUCCCCAUCCUUGACGAGAUUUGGCAGCCCGCUGGAUUUUAGCUCUUAAUCCUUCGUUUCUUGCUUUUUUUUGAUAAAAAAAAUAGGAGGGGAGGGGGUGGGCGCGUAGCAGCCUCCACUGGGCUCCCUUCCACCAGAAAAUGUUCGAUACAGGUCACAGAUUUUUGCGUGCUUUUCUCAACCCGUGAGCUCACCCCACUAGGCUCACCGCCUCACGUGUGGGUACGUCACCCCAGCACUACCUUGGUAUAGAUGGAAGGAAAGCAUAUCCGCCAGCGAGCCAUCCGAGCGUGGGGCAUCCGGUCUCCUAAUUUAAUCGACGCCCGCGCGUUUCGAACCCGAGCAACUCGAGUGGAACUAUCGUCCCCUUACCACCAGGCUACCACCUUGAUGGCUUCGUUUCUUGCUUCACGUGCCAGCAGAUGGCCUUUUCCAUCUACGAGGAGAUUUGUCCUUUUCUUUUUCAGUUUUUUUAGUCAUAUAGAUUCUUGAAGUGGUUUGUCAUUCAAGGACAGACCACCUGAUGCACAUUCUUCCCCUCUCUCCUCUAAUAAAAACAGGUGGCCAAUUGGUCUCUCAUUGCAACAAAAAUAAAAAGAUGGAAAACUAAUGGAAAUUGGACUUUGCUUUUUGAUAACCUUGCGAAAAAACAAAGAGAAAGUCCUCCCUCCGCCGGUCUUCUCAGCUUCCAUCUCUUCUUCGUUCCUUGUUCCUCCUCUUUUCUUUUCUCCUGUUCGUUUUCUUUUUCUGGUGCUUUAUUUUGUUUCUUCUUGAUCCGACUUGGUUUAGUUUAGGGGGAAGGGCGGAUUCUUUCAUUCUUUUGUUCUGUCUCUUGAAGAAAAAGAAAAAAAUCUUUUGGGGACUCUUGUCUGAUCUCAUUAUGGAGCUUGCUCACUAAAUUCCAAAAAGUCAGGUAACUGGCCGGAAUGGAGGGGUGUAAGAGGGGCUAAUCAUGUGCGUCGCCGACUAAUUUUCUCCAAAUUUGAUUUUUUUACACUAAUAACCUUCAAGAUAAAUUAGUCAUUUCAAUGCUUUGGUUAACGGCAUUAAAGCUCAGAUGAACGUCGAAGGUACAUUACAACCAAAUUUUAACUUUAAGAUUUAAUUAAAAAAAUUAAUAGCUUUGAAGUAUAAGUACGAAUUGCGAAAAGUUAAAAAGGUGUCACUGUAAUUUUUCUUUAAAAAAUGAAGCUAAAUUGUGCAUUUCAGUCCCUGAAUAGAAGGUGUAUUGGUUGAAACUAACGAUGUGUCAUUACAGUCAAUUGAACGGAUGGUGCAUUAGUAGGCCAUGUGCAGUGAAAUUUUGUAUUAGUAAUAGUUCGAAUUCGGCUAGAAUUGGAUUUACAUUGUAUCAAGGGCAUAACAACUAGUCGGAAGGUAUGAACUGCAUGAUUCAUGCCAUCGAAAGGGAUUUUCAUUCUGCAAAGUCAUGUACGGUGUAUUUCUUAGUUUAGGUGUCUCAGGAGUUCUUUUUCUUGUUUUUUUAAAACUCUGGUGGUACCUAGACAUCCUAGGCACCGUAACAGAUCCUGAAGCCUAUAAAUAUCCUCUUUUGCACUCAUUUUUGAGUAUUGAAAAAUUAAUAAAUUAAUAAAAAAUAUCCUCUUUUACUGGGUGCACUAUAGUUGCCUUUUGCAUGAUUCUUUUUUGUGCAAUCUUCGUGGAUGUUAGCGAUUGGCAAAGCAGCUCGUGGAGUGCUUGAUUGUGGAGCACCUCUAAGUGGAGUUGGUGUAGUUCUUGGCAACAAUGCGGCUCUCUAGGUGGCAAGGCAAAAAGCUAAUAUUAUCUUUUCUUAUAGUUUCAUUUUUAGUAUCUAAAUUUUAAUCUUUAGUUUUCAAAUUGAUAAAUGCUUUCAAAGUUUUAGGUUUAAAUCUACUGCAUUGUUUUAGUUUCUGACUAGGUAACUUUGAAGCUUGCGCUAAACCUCUAGCCUACAUUUAAGGUCUGUGGAGUGAUUGAUUAUAACCCUAUUUGAUUUUGAUGAGCUCAAAGCAUUUGAGUAUAUCUUGUACUAAUGAAUUCAAUCUAGUGUUUCAGCGAAAUAUUUGUGAAUUUAUGUUUAAGUGUCUCUAGCUUUGGUUCAAUACAUUUUGGCUAAGUAUGGAAAUCAAUUUGAACCAAAGUCUGAAGCUCGAGUCGACUCCGGAAGAUUACGAGUCGACUCCAAGUGUAUCAGAAGCACUGGCACAAGCUCGAGUCGACUCCGGCACAUUACGAGUCGACUCUGACUGAGAACAGACAGCAGGACAGAAAGAUAAAUCUCAGACCCUGUCACCGAGUCGACUCCUGAAGAAUUAGAGUCGACUCCGAUGCUUGCCGAGUCGACUCCAGCAAAGUACGAGUCGACUCCAUGGAGUAACAGACUGAAAGACAGAGAAGUCGUUUUGGACUCUGAGAAUCGAGUCGACUCCAGAAGAACUCGAGUCGACUCCAAUGGUUGGCGAGUCGACUCCUAAGGAAGCAAGAGUCGACUCUCAGAGGAAUGCAAGACAAAGUCAGAGAGCCAACUUCGGUGUCUGAGAGCCGAGUCGACUCCAGCAAAGUUCGAGUCGACUCCGAGGCAGUUCACCUUCAAAACACAGAGAAACAGUUUUCGGAUCCUGAGAGCCGAGCCGACUCCAAGUACUCAUGAGUCGACUCCCAAGUCAGCCGAGUCGACCCCAACAAAAUCCGAGUCGACUCAGAGGCAGUUCAACUCCNNNNNNNNNNNNNNNNNNNNNNNNNNNNNNNNNNNNNNNNNNNNNNNNNNNNNNNNNNNNNNNNNNNNNNNNNNNNNNNNNNNNNNUAGAUCUCUGGAACCCUGAGAACGAGUCGUCUCCGGAGGGCCGAGUCAUCUCCGGACAUUGGCGAGUCGACUCCACGUUUGGCCGAGUCGACUCCAGAACGGGACGGCACUUUAUUUCAAAUUUUGAACAGUGGGCAAGUCGACUCCAGUAAAGCAUGAGUCGACUCCAGCAACAGCCGAGUCGACUCCAGAUCGAGCGAGUCGAAUUCGAUCCCAACGGACACUUUGUUAGGAGUUGCAGAGUGUGCAGAACGGCCAUAAAUGUGUGUCUAACGGCUAGUUUUCGUUGGGGAUGGCUUAAAUAGCCAGAGUGAACAGUAAUAGAGUAAGAAAGAGAGACUCCAUUAAAAGCAAAAGAGAUUUCCACCUACCAAAGCCUCUCUAGAGUAAAUACAAGAGAAAGAAGGAAGAAGUGCAUUGAAGUCCAUCCUCCCAACAUCUUCCUCGCAUUCAAGGCUCCUCAUCUGACAGCAAAUCUUCAUCCCACUCACGAGGAGAUUGCAAAGUUCGAGAAGCCUCUUUCCUCAAAUCUAAAAAUCUGUUUGAGGGCUUCUAACUCUUCUUUAGUUAUAUUGUUUAUAUUUGCUUUUCAAGAAGCUAUUCCUGUACUCUUUACAAACUGUUUUCUUGUUACUUGAUUCAAUCAGGGGAUUGAAUCAAGGGUGUAGAGGUUGGUUGGUGAGCCGAGGUUAAAACCAACGGUGUAAGGGUUUGAUUGUGAUCCCGGAAAAACAAUCGGGUGGUUCUAGUCGGUGAGCCUGUGAAAACCGACCGAGUUCGUUGUGAUCUCGUAAAACAACAAGUUGGGUUGUGAGCUUGUAAAACAACCGGCUGUAAUCCGAGGGAUUAUAGUGAACUCCCAAGUGAAGCUUGGGGAGUGGAUGUAGGAGCAAGGGUUAGCUCCGAACCACUAUAAAAUCUCUUGUGUUUGUGAUUGUUUCAUUGUCUCUUCCAUUCCUUUCAUUCACUGCAUAUAGUAACUAAUUAAUCCACUUNNNNNNNNNNNNNNNNNNNNNNNNNNNNNNNNNNNNNNNNNNNNNNNNNNNNNNNNNNNNNNNNNNNNNNNNNNNNNNNNNNNNNNNNNNNNNNAACAAGGUCUUUCCUAUUUGUAAAGCAUGCAUGCUUAGUUAGGACUUAUAAUUUGCUUAGAAAUUGAUUUUUGGUUUGUUUUUAAAAUUUGCCUUAUUUCUAAACUCCUAGACAUUUUCAGAUUCUAUAUGCUUUCAAAUUGUUUCCAAAGUUAAAAUUCAGGUUUGCAUGUGUUGAGAGCGAAUAGAAUUCCAGUCUGGUUUGAGGUGGUAGGAUGGCUGUUCAGGUCUUGCUUAGAUUUAUUAUAGUAGUUUGACUUGAUUUGUCAUUGAUGGGGGGCGAAAUGGAUCAUCCAGCUCAUAACAAAAGGGCCACCCAAUUUCGGCCCAACAGUCACCAAUGCCGACUAGACGUGUCCUCGGUCCGGCCCAAAAUCAGCCCGACCUCGGACUUCGCCGAAAGCUCCUCCAACCUCGGAUGUUUGCCAAUGCGCCCCGACCAAGUUCGGAGCGCCCUCCUUAUUCGCCGACGCGCCCCGGCCAAGUUCGGGGCACCCUCCUUAUUCGCCGAUGCGCCCCGGCCAAGUUUGGGGUACCCUCUCCAAGUACACGCCCCGACCUCCUGAGCUCGAGGCACUUCACCGGGCACACCUCGGCACUUGUCAAGCCGACCUCGCCAAAUGCAUGAUGCGACCAUUCCAUGAGUUCGGUCUUGCCGACAGCCGCACCCAUGUGCAUGCCCACACCCUUCUACGUGGUCGUACAUCGCGACGCCGCCACGCCACACUUUGCUAGCUGGCCCACGGCAGACCAAGGACAACGCCAUGCUACUCCGGCCAUACCCUACUACGACUAUCAAUACCUUACCAUUUCCAAGAACGGACUCCACCGCGUGCCACAAGCAAGCUUUGGCUACGCGCCACUCCCCCUCAUGAUGGGAACGGGCUAUACCUCCGCUACUUGAGUACCCCUACCGGGACUAUAAAAAUCCCCAACAGCUAAUAUUGAGGGAACUUUUGGCUGGACCUACUAAGCUCCACACUAACUUAAUCGUCGGAGGGUCCUCACCGGAAACACCGGUGAGGCUUUAUGCACGUACCCCGGUCGGUUGCGGGAGGUGGCUCCCCUUGUCAUCCUCCACACUCCGGUAGCUCCUCCGACUCCUCCGGUGUGGUCACCCUCGGGCCAGAUUUGAACCACAAUAUUUUUGGCGCUAGAGGAAGGACCUGAGUCGUGAUCAUGAAGCUAAGGAGUCAUGGAGCUCCAAAUGCAUCAAGCAGCCGGAUCUCACCACCCAGCCACUUUCUUCAAAAUCCACCCCCUGCAGCACCUCCACCAGCGGUCCAGAUCCCUCCGGUCUAGCCGAAGCAGUUUGAUUUGCUUCUUCAGCAGGUCCAAACACUGACCGCGACCGUCCAAGGCCUACAGUGAGACGGGGUCCAGUCUGCACCUCCUCUUCGCGGGUGUGAGUCCACAGGAUGCCACCUGCGACGUCGCUCGUGAGUCAUUUUCUAAAUAACUUAUUUUUAAAAAUCAAAACCCAACUAGUAUUGCCCAGGUGGGUGAAUAUUAGAAUUUUUUCUAAAUAUGGGUUGCCACGAUUGGAUUUUUUUAAUUACAAAAAAAAGGUUAGUUGUUAGACUAGCAAAGCCCAAUAUAGAGUGUGAUUUAUAUAGCUUUUAGGCCUAGGUCCGCCUGGCUAAUUGCUUCUGGUAUGUUAUGAAAGGUGUGAGGCCUCUUUUAUAGAUUGUGCUAAUUGAUGGGAUGGUUCAAAAUAAAAUUAACCCUAGGGCUAGGUCCUCUCUCUAUCCAGAAUAUUGUACCCUAUAUAAAUGGCUAUUGCAGUGCUUUGCGGGCCCUAUCGAGAGCUACCAUGCAGAAAUUGAAAAGGAAGAGGGAUUUCUAACCUAGACAUGUGACUACCUCGCAUCUUCCUAACUAUUGUUCAGUUCUUUUGCUUGUGUCCAUGGUUGCAGGCUAUUUUCAAGAAUUUAUCAAUGGUGGCAAUAGAUUAUAGGUUCUUCUAUAUGUUUAUAUAAUUUUCUGAUGUUCUAUUUCUCGAUAUUCCUAUUAUAAAUUUUCCUAGAUGGCACAAGAAUAAAAAGGGUAAUGUGUGUAAUAAACAUCUUAAAGCGAUCACAAAGCAUAAGCUAGCUCAGAACAAUUUCAAAUGAUACAGUUGUAUUCAUGCAAAAAAAAAACUCAAUUGCUUACUAGGGCUAGGUGAAUUUCCAAAGCGACCCUUUUAUUAUAUUAAAUAUGAAAAAGAGUAACCACAAUAUGCAUAAUUAGCACGCAAGAAACAAUUCCUGGUAAAGACAUGCAAGAAACAUCUUGACUUGCUUUUCUCUCCACAAUUCCGAAAAGUUUCUCGCAUCUAGCAAUCAGUAUUGCAAGGCUCCCCUCACACCAUUUGAGCAGCUUUGACUGGCGCUAUUGACGGAAACUCCUCGAGGUUAUAGGCGUUGUUGUGUUUGGUUUUCUCAAACUUCUCUCCAUCGCCCCACAGCGCAUACGCCUCCUCACCGUGGAUGGCAUCAUCGCCUAUCUGCAAGUCCUCUUCGCUGAGGCGAAGCGGCACGAUCAGCCUGAUGACCAAGCAGAUGAUGGUAGUCAUGGUGACAUUGACAAAGAUGAUGAAGAGGAUGCCAGCAAGCUGGACUCCUAACUGGCGGAGGCCGGCGCUUGCACGGCGGUCCUUCAAGCCGUACAAUAAGCCAAUGUACUUGUCGACGUCGUCACUAGGGAAAAAGAUUUUGUUCAGCCGGGGUUCGGCGAAGAGACCGGUGAGGAUGCCCCCAAGACUGCCAGCGACAGCAUGGGUGUGGAAAAUGGCCAUGGUGUCAUCGACAUGCUUGAGGAACUGGAUCUUCUUGUGGAGAAUCAUCAUGGUGUACCAGGGAAUGCUGCCUGAGAGGAUGCCCAUGAUGAUGGCCGCCCAAGUCUGCACCACUCCUGCCUCCCAUGAAAUGAAUUUUAAGUUAGAGCACAAUGUUGACCUUGACUCAAGUCCAAUGAUCUAGGAGGUGGAGGCUUGCACCAAGACUUUUAAUUGAGUUAACAAAGAUAGGAGGAAUAACUUGGAGCAAAUUAAGGGAGUAAAAUAUUUUUUUAAUGGAAUUCACUUUUUUUCCUUCAACAAAUUUUCUUCAAUAUGGAUCAAAAAUGAUUUCUUGAUGCAUUAGGUUACUUGUUUUUGUAAUAAAUAUCUGAAUUUGCAGGUAUACCCUUGUGAAUUUACUAUAUAUAUCCUUAUAAAUUAUUUUUGUCGCAUAUGUGAUCAGCAUGCUAUUUAAGACAAUGAAGAGACAAAUUGUUUAAAACUGAAAUGGUUGAAAUACCCUCAACUUAAUAAGAAUAUAUAUAUAAAUAUAAAUAUAUAUAUAUAUAUAUAAAUAUAUAUAUAUAUUUAUAUAUAUAUAAUUUAUAAAGAUAACCUUGCAAAUAAUAAACUCGUAAAGGUAUACACAUAAUUUCAAAUAUUUAUAAAGAUAUAUAUGCAAAAAUAUUUUUUUUGAUUAAUGUGACAUAACUUGGCCUUUUAGCCCAUUGAAUCAGUUUAACCUUAGAUUUGUGGAUUGCAUCUAGCUUUAGACGUUUCACCUCCUGAAGCUGAUCCUGAUUCAAUUAUAGAUCAAGCUAGACCCAAGGUCCAAACCAAUCCAUUUACGAGUUCUCUUUACAAAUGCAUAGGAAUUAGAAACUAAAAAAGGAUUACCUGCAGCAGGAGUGAUGCAGACGAGUCCAGUGAUCAUGCCUUGAACAGCGCCGAUGACGGAUGGCUUGGUGAAGAAGAAGUCAUCGAGGAGGAGCCAAACAAGGAGGCUGGUGGCAGCGCACACGUGGGUGUUCAAAACGGCGAGAGAUGCAUCUGCAUUUGCCGAAUACGGCCCACCUCCAUUGAACCCGGUCCAACCCAUCCACAGUAGCCCUGCGCCGGCCAACAUCAGCAGAAUAUUGUUUGGUGGAAAUCUCUCCUUGUCAUUGCUUGUCCGAGGCCCCACCUGCGUGUUAUGUUACAUUUUUCGCACGCCAGAAAAAUCAUGGAGCCAAUGAAGAAGCUAUUUUCAUAUGAGUAAUUUAUUAAGGUCAUGUAAAGUAAUGAUAACUCUUAAGCCAUAUUGUCGCUAGUGAUAAUUUCAUCAGAUAGACUGGGUUAUUUUUUUAUGGUUUUGGUCGAAUGAAAUUAGUUUUGGGUGUAAUCAGAUGGGACUUAGGAAAGGGAAAAAUAAAGACUCUCGCCUCUAAAUAAAAUUCUCAAUUAACUAACUGAAUUCCAUAAAAUUCCAUCCAAUCCAUUAUCCAUUAAGUGCUUCUCUAGAUAUUCUUGCACGAAUUGGCUUGAUGGCCCGUCCAGCUAGCCUGCAGGCUUCUAAGAGCCCCUCUAACACGGACUAUUCCAAAUGGGUUGCCCAAACCUUCUAGACUACCCAAUCAGGGCUUAAAGUUAAAAUUGCAGCCACGGUCCGUCCUAUUUGACAUGCAAUUUGUUUUCUACCCUGCUCAAGAAAAUCAAUGUUUAAAAGAACCAAAGUUCCAUAUGUUGUUGUGACCUUUUUCAUGUAUGAAAAUAUAGCAAAGCCGGCCCCUUUUUUCCUCUCUCUUGCUUCCAUCUUUUGUCAUGUUCCCAGCAAAAUACUCGUGCCCGUAUCCAUCCUUAGCAAUACAGGUCUCCCAAAUUAUUGUACCGGGCCACCACAAUUCGGAACUUAUUUAACUCAAACAUACUGGCAGCACUCCGGACCAAUAUAUGAAAACAUAGGGAGAGAGUGUGGGCAAAAAUAUAUUUAUUUUGAUAGCUAGAAAUCCUUACCCAGUAUGCAGCAGUAAAUCCGGCGAUCCCUGACGAGAGGUGAAUCACGUACCCUCCACAGAAAUCGAUGACCCCGAGCUUAUUCAAGAACCCUUCGGGGCUCCAGACGCUGAAGGCCCCAACGGUGUAGGAGAAGGUGAUCCACAGGGGCACAAACAGCAUCCAUGCAUGGAAGUUCAUCCUCCCGAGGAGCGACCCGGCGACGAGGAUGGCGGUGAUGGCGGCGAAAACAAACUGAAAGAAGACGAGGGUGGCCUCAGGAUACGCGCCAGCAAAACCCUGUUCCAGGAGGGAAUGCUGGUCGAGGGCGAAGUUGGGCUUGCCCAAGAAGGGGACGAGUUUGUCGCCGAAGGACAUGUGGUACCCCCAGGUCACCCAGCAGAUGAGGACGGCAGCGAAGGCGUAGAGGGCCAUGAAGGCCGAGUUCACAGCCCACUUCUUCUUGACAAUGCUGCCGUAGAGGAUGACGAGGCCCGGCACGCUCUGGAGGCCGACGAGGGUCGACGCAGUCAGCUGCCAUGCAUUGUCGCCAUGGUCAACCCAGCCGAAGGGGUCAGGGGGAGGAGCAGCGGUAGUAUUGCUCAUUUUUCUUUCUUCCUGCUUCCUGUCUGAUGAGAAGGGGAGGUCGUGGAAGGAGGGUUGGAUUGAGAGGUGGUGAAGUUAAGGGGGGGCUGGAGUGAUAUAGAUAUGUGCGUACAACAGGACGAGGGCUUAGUCUGAGAGUACUAUGCUCCUUGGAGUUGGCGUUCGCUCCUGUUUGAUUUGGUCUCGAGAUAUCCAACUGGAUGCAGCCUUUGUUCAUGGUGGAAUCUCCGUGAAAAUUCCAAGGGCUUCGUGGGAUCUAAUUUAUGGAAACAAUGAGCAAAAUAGCUGUUCUAGCCCUUGAUUGUGAAGUAUAAAGAAAAUAAUGAAAUACGCACCUAGACAAUGUCUUCCUAACAUAGUUUUCACGUAUAAAACAAACUUUAAGUUGCUAGCUAUGUUGUGGUCGUCUUUCUCUUUCAUCUAAUGCAUCUGAUGUUCAGGAAUAAUGGAUUAGAAACAACCUAGAUCCUAACUCUCCAGCACACUUCAUAUGAGAGCUACUCGUCAGGAUCUGAAAAGGGACAAAAGAUAAAGAGGUGAACUAACAGCCGAAUAAAUUAUCUCUACCUCUAAUUGCAUCAAGGAUAAAAUGUAUUAGAAAUGCUAAUUUACAUAAACUAUGAUUAUCAAUUGUAUAAUGGAAGUAAAUUUGCCAAAUUCAUGAUGGAAUUCACAAAAAGCUUGUUCAUAAGGAAACAUCUUACUAUGUAAAAAAAAUACGUAAUGCAUCUGGUAAAUUUUCAAUUAAAGAGAUUUGAAAAUCCGCCCUCUUUUGGCUUUUACAAUUACAGCCACAAUUAAUUCCAUAACAAGGUCCAAAAUAGACUACUUCUUAUAUACAAAACAUGCCAUCGAUCACUAUGUGCCAGCGAUUAGCUUCCACUAUCUUGGCCCAAAAGAAAAGUAGCUCUGAGUCAUAUGAAAAUGUGCCUGUGAUCAGCCCAAACUAGCAAAGCUCAACAGAAUUAGUCCUUGAACACGCAACCCUAUUGGCUAGGCCAGACUUAUAGUCAGGCUAGAGAGGAACAAAAUGUUCGUUCCAAACCAAUUUCUUGACCAUAUAAAAAUCCAAGAAUUUUAUAAAUAAGAUUUGACAACUUAUUUUGUAGCAUUUAAUUAUGUAUAGUCAAAUCAACACAUAUUUUGAUGCAUCAUAAUUCAGUUUCAUGCCUAAGUACUUUAUUGUUGGUCAAUUUUUUUUUAAAAUUUACUGUUAUACAGAGCAUACAUAAUAUUUAAUUCAAACAUAAAAACAAAUGUGCAUAAAUAAUUUUUGUAAUGUCAAUAUCAAAUAUUUAAGCUAUUUUUCAAAUGCAGGAAUAAAACUAAGUGACAUAUGUUUUAGAUUAUAUUACACGGCAUACAUGAUAAAAUCACUGGAGUUAAAAGACGAAAAGCUAAGGUAAGAAUUUGCAUAGAGAUGAUAGGCGUUUAUUGUGGAGCUCGAUAGUCUCCCUUAAAACCUUGAAACUAGCAUAUUGGAAGAUCAAUCGGCCAAAAUAACCAUGAGCAGCUACGAUAUUAUAAGUUUCUCCCUCUUGACCGAAUCCGUAACGUGCGAAAUUAUAGAAGAU